rnacentral:lncRNA from 1 species
AUCCCCAAGUCUUCUCGAUAUUAUCUUCAUCCGAUUCGCCCAAAACCACUUCUUCCGAUUGAUUUUCGAAGGGCUUCAACUUAAUAUUUUCCUCCACUUUCUUAUUGUCCUUGAAGAGGUUUACCUAUGGUGCAUUAUCAUUUUUUUACACCAUCAACCCCGACAACAUUUUAUCCUUGUUGGUUCUUCAAUUCUGUCGUAUGUGACUCAAAAUCAGAUUUCUCAGAUUCCGUAUCGUCUUUCCCAAGUGUUAAUGAUACACUAAGCGAGGAUAAAUUCUUCUUAUUAUUCUCAACCAAACUGAGCUUCAAAGGGACGUCAACACCAUUUCUAACAUCCAACUACCGAACUUUCCGGGGUUUGAGAGGUGCUAGCCCAAUUUCUUGCCCAUUCAAAAUAGAAAACGACACCACAAUAGCCUAGCAAGAGAGAUAGCUGGGCAAGGAAGCCCAUGUCCAGAUGAAAAGACCCAAUGGGAAAUUUAAAUAACCCAAAAGACCAGGCCAAACAAGCCUAAAAGGAGGGGAUUUGGGUCGGGUCAGUAGGGAAUCCAGAAAAGCCAAAAAGGAAACUGCAAAUAAUCCAUAAGGCUGCGAAUUCGGAGUGCCAAACACUGACCUAAGAAAGAAAUCUGAAAGGUAGGCUAACCAAAUUCAAAAUUCAACCUUGAUUCAACCUGCACAAAUACAUACACAAUAUGCAAUAUGUAAAAACACCAAGAACACACAACAAAGAGAAACACCAAGAACAUGAACUGGAAAAAUUCGAUAGCCAAGGAUAAAAUCCAAAACUGGACAGAAACAACCAAAUAAGAUGAAGAACCGUUGGUUGCCCAAAAAUACAUCGAAAAACUGAAGUACUCAACACCGAACUACAAGAAAAGUUUAGACCAAGUCGAACAAGCAAAAAGAUAACCAAAACUACGAGCUGGAACUAAAUAAAAAGACUAGUAGAAACCACAACUGCCUGAAGCCAAAUCAAACCUGGAAUAUCCAACCGAAGUAGCCCCCAGUCCAAACCCAGCUGGACAAAACUGAGAAGCACUUGGCCGUAUCUCAAGGAACCAAACACAAGUUGAAGCUAACUAGAACCCCAGUAGACCUCAAACUGCCUUGAACGAAUUGUAAGGACACAGCAACCGAAUCUGACAAAGGCAGCGACAACUAGACUGAAGGUAGCUUGCUUGAACAUUGAACAUUGCCUUGAAUAUUGAUCGAAACUGAACUGAAAUACCAAACUGUAACUUUCAAACUUAGCAAAUCUGCACCUAAAGACGGAUUAAAGCCAGUAUGCUUAAUUCAAUUUUCACUGAGAAAAAGUAAAAAUCGAACCAAACACAUUAGGAGACUCAAGAAACAAGGCAUUCAAGUGGGAUUUUCUCUCACUAGAAUUUAGAUCUUUUCUAUCUAACCUUGACUACUUGUCUUUACACUUAUCAGCCCUGCUAGAAGUGGUCUCAAUAGGGAAGGGAACUGAGAGGGAGGAGGUAUUGGAAGGCGGGAGGUGUCCCCAAAAUGCACUCAUUUGAAGAGUGGCCCCAAUGUCUAUAAUAAAAGCAAAAUACUGGCCUCUUCUCACAGAUCACCGACUGCCAAAAGCCACAAUUAUCACCUCACUCAAUCCAAAUUGUACCUGGUAAUCAUUGCUCCAAGUUUUACCUCAGUACAUUACCUUGCCUUACUAGGUCAUGACAAAUUCCAGGUGGCCUCAUCAAUCCUCAAUGGUAUAUCCCUAUAGCUCUAGAUAAAGUAAAUAGGAACCCCUUACUACACAUAUGAAUAGGUAAUAAAGAAAUUAGACCUAAACUGGAGUAACAAGCAUAUCAUGUUUAGGUCAAAAUCACAUGUCCAUUUAAGGACUCUUAUUGGGCACCCAUCAAUAUACCAUGAAGUCUUAAGAAAUAAUCUAAUAUAGUCUUCUUCAUGUGUAAGAUGUAUCAAUAUGUGUAAAGUAUCACUAAGCCCCAACUCAAAUCUAUCAUGGAAACCUAACUUUUGAAAAUUCUCACUUAUCUUUCUCAUGAUAGGCUUGCGAUAGCAGAAUUUCCCUAUAAGCGUGAACUUGUAGUGUUCACGUAGUAUAGCUUCCUUCAAAUUUAUCAAAUCGAUGGUUGGCUCAUCCCAAGUAUGUAUAGGAUUCAUUUGUAAUUGGUGCCUGUAAAACUGAAGUAAACGACUUCUUUGACUACUUUUUACAUGAAACACCAAAGACCAAAAAUUGCAUUAGCAUAGGUCUUUCGAUGCUGAUUGAGCAAAGAGUGGGCCUCAUGUGCAGGGGCAAAUCCAGGAGUUUGAGUAAGCACGGGCGACCGUCGACCAUCUAACGUUGGUCGCAAUAAAAUAUUAAAAAUCCUUCGAUAUCUAUAUUUUUUUUUUUUGCAAAAAAAUGUAUUUUGGAAUGGUGAUUUGAUGGAGAACGUGUGAUUAAAAAUAAAGAAAAAUUUUGAAUUUACGUGUAAUAUUAUUUUAUUGAAGAACGUAUGCAUGAAAAGAUGAAAGAAAAAAGUAGUUUUAAAAAAGGGGGAAUUGAACAAGGUCUAAAGUAUAAAUAUAACAAUUAUUUUAUUCAAACUGAAUAUAUAUAAUUCUGUUAUAAGAAUAAAUAGAAUUCAUCAAAUAACAUUGUUGCUAAAUUUUGUAUAAUUCAAAGGAAGAGUGUGAAUUCGAGUAUUUAAAAUUGUUUGCAUCAAAACAAUUAAAAUCUAACAAAUAUCAUUUUGUUAAAUUUAGUAAUCCAAUUCAAGAGGUACCAUAAUGGUUAAGUUUACCACAAUUAUUGCUUCAGAUCAUGGGUUCAAAUCCUCAUUGUCCCUCCCUUAUAGAAUUUUGGUAAAAAUUAUAAAAUAAAAAUAAUACAUAACAAAUCCAUUGACAAGGAUUCGAACCUAAGAGUUGAUGCAUAUUAAGAUUGACUCUCACCAAGUAAGCUACAUGGGAUGUUUGAGAAUAAAAUCAAUUAUAAAAAAUAUAAUGUAAAAAUUUAAUCUAUUAAUAACAAAAAUAAAAAUAAAAAAUCCCGGCGGAUCCAGCUAGGGCGGCUGCCCUAGCUGGCCGCCCUCUGGAUCUGCCACUGCUCAUGUGGAAAAAUCGAUGCUAAAUGAAUCUGGAUUAAUUGGAGGACACCGUGGAGAUUUUGUGUUGGUGCAUAUGGCCCACGUGUUGGUGGCUAUACAUCGACCCUAGGCAUGUCCCUUGCCAAUUUUUAUUUUUUAAUUUUUUAUUAUUUGCAAGUUGAUGCGGAAUUUCAUGUUGAUUCUGAUGGUCAUAGACGUGUAGCAAGUGGGGAUCCAUGGAAGGAGUUAUGCCUCGAUUUGUGGGCAGUGGCUCUUUUUUAUUGUAGGCCUCAAGUGCGUUCGUCUUUGUAAUGGAAUUGGCUUUUAUCGGUUUGGUCGGAAUUUGAUGGGCAACAAGAUGGUUAGGCAUAGGUGAUGUUCAGGUGGCUAGGUUGGAAGUAAUUUCUCAAUUAAUGUGUAAUUGCACAUUUUUCAAUACAAUAAUUUCGACCAAAUUGGAGGCCGACAACUCUAUCCUAUGGCUUUUUGGGCUUUCCGAGUUUUCGACUGAUGUUUUCCAUGAGUUUUCAAUUGUAAAUUUGAUGAUUUUGGGUCGGAUUUUACUGUUGGUGUUUGAGGAGAAGGAUUGUGGUGUGAUGGUGUUGGAUUUUUGUUGCUAGAGAUAGAGGAAUCCGGUGGUUUUGGUGGCAAAUCGAGUGUAUGGGAGAUUGGGCUCAUUUAUUCCAUUGUAGAGAAAAUGAAGAGUGUUUUAGAGAGAGAAAGUGAAAAGGUGCAAAUCGAUAAUAUAUUAAUGUCAAUUCUUUCUAAUUAUAUAGUUAGGGUGGAGUUUCCCAACCUUUCAUGUAGUGUGGUUAUGGGUUUCUAUCCUUCAAAAGUAAGAUUCAGAGUCCUCAUUAUUUAGACAAGUAAAUAUGGGUCGUUCAUCAUCGAAACUAUCGAUGUUGAUGUCAAAAUAGUAUGAGAAUUUUAAUAGUAUUAAAAAGAAACGUUAAUGUGUUUUAACAUUUCGAGUUUAACAUAUCAACUUUUAUCAUCAAUAUUGAUGUUUUCGAUAAUGAAAAAUUCAAAUUCAUAAUGGAGACUUUACGUUUGAAGAUUAUAGCCAACCCUAAAGAAUCUCCUUACUUCCACAUUCCAAUUUUCGAAAAACGAUUACUUCAAAUGUAGAACCCCACAAUUCAAAAAGUUUUCUUGAGCGGUAGGCGUCGAAUCUCCAACGGUAACAUACGUAAACACUUUUAUGGACCCAUCAUAGAGUUAAUUGGGCCCAGUUUGAGCUCCAAAGAAGAAACCUGUUUAGGUCCGAACAGAGGAUGGAGGGAGAAAGCUCGCAGCCAUUGCACAGAGGAGUUGAUAAUACCGGCUCCGGUCCAUCUGCAUCAUCUAUCCGGCUCCGGUCCAGACCGGACUCCUUCUUGAUCCUCUGGCGAUGCUUCAGCGUGAUUACUUCUCUGGCCGCGAUUCUCUGCAUUGCAGUCAAUGUUCUCUCUGCCGUCCGAUCUUUCAAGAACGGAUCAGAUGUAAUUUUGAAUUCUUUCGCUAUGUCUCAAUAUAAUUUGUUAUGCAAUCUAGGUAAGUCUAAGUUUUCCCUUUUUUUUCUUUUAAUUGUUGUAGAUAUUCGAUGGAAUAUUCCGUUGUUACGCGGUGGUGAUUGCAAUGUUUGUGGUGGUGGCGGAGACUGAAUGGGGAUUCAUUAUUAAAUUCUGGAAGGUUCGAUUUUUGUUAUCAACCUUUUAUUUAUUGUUCAAACUUGGUAUAUUGAGACUGAUUCUUGCAUAUUGAGCUAUGCCCAUGUAAGGCAAAUUAUUUAUUGUUUCAUGUUGUUUUAAUAAUGUUUUGAGUGAGGGAAUGAUACAUUAUUCACAUUUGUGCAAAUGCAAUUGCAAUAUAACUCUCCCACAUUGUGGUAUGACAAUAUACAUCAAAUAAGAAGUUACCUUUACCUUCUAAGCUUAAUAAAGUUACUUAUUUUGCCAACAGAACAAAUCCGAACUUAUGAAAAGUAACUUUUAAGCACAACGAGACAUGCUCCUUGAGUCUCAAGAUCAAGACUUUUAUUUGUUUCCUUAUAAUUUCCACUUUUCAAAUGGGAUAUGUAUCACUGGUGAUUCUGAAGUUUGCAAAAAUCAUAUUAGGAAUAACAUGUAAUGUGUGAACUACUUAUGUUCUCUUUCUUUGCGUUGCGUGCUUCCCUGUGGUUACGCAUCACUAGAUGUAUCAUUUUUUCCCUUUUAUAGAGAACAGAAUAAUCAUUAGAAAACUAAGAGAUGUAAAAUUUGAAAACUAUAACAUAAGCAGGCUUCUGAGAUCUUGGUGCAUAGAACUCAUCAGAUGACUUUUAGACCCAUCAGAAUAGUAAACAUUUUUGCCCCAUCGUUUGCUCGCUAUUAGUUAAAUCAUUAAUAAUAACAGAAAAAGGAUUUAAAUAAUAAAAAGAAAAACUGCGUUGAAGCAUAUAGAGGUAGUUUGUCAGAUGGGCUCGCCAUUGUACCUAUAGACCAGGCAUACUCCACAAUUUUUGGGUUUACCAGGCCAACCUAUCCAAGUUUUGGUGUUUUUUAUUUUCUUUUUCUGGCAUCCAAUGUGGGCCAUGGGCCUCAUCUCCUAUACGGCUAUACCCAAAGAGCCCACACACCGUCCCAGUGUGCUGGGCAAAAUGAGGAUCAGGCCAUCUCGCGCCUGGCUGCCCCUGCCUUUUUCACACCCCUGCCCUCAUCCAACCUACUGUUGCCCAAUUUUACAUUACCUUUUACAUGUGGCAUUUUGAUGAACUUUUUGAUGGAAUCCGUUGCAGAGAUCUGCUGGAUGCAAAAGUUGAAGGUGGAUACCCCUUUGCAAAGAAAUAUUGAAUGCAUGCUCAUUUAGCUACAUAAUAGGGACUGUGGAUUUUACAUAGCAAAAGGUAAUCAAUUUAAAGAAACCAAGAAUUAAUAAGAACUUGGAAAUGAGAGAGAAAUACCACAAAGAGGUAGGCACACAAAUGAAAAGAGAUGAAUGAUAUUAGACAGAUUGUAGCACGGAGGAGAAAGGCGGUGAAUUAUGAAAGGAAAACUAGAUGGGGACCUUCAAAUCAGGGUUACCAGGUAUUGAUUGGAGAGAACAAUGUAAGAACCCUGGAAUCAGAUAUGGGUUUUGGGAGAUGUUAAGAGAUCACUCUACCUUGUUUUUAAACCAGUAUAAAAGGCAUAGAAGAAGCACAUAUUACUAGUAGUCUAGUACUGUAUCUGUGAUGUGUUGGAAAGUUUGCAAUGGUUUUUGAACUGAUGUUUGUUUUGGUCCUUCUCAUUUGCUAUAUUGUUCCAGCUUAAAUUGUCUGCUUGAACUUCAUAUAGCAUUUAAUAUAUGGAUUUGAAUCUUCAUCACUAUGUUGCAGGUCCUAGAGUAUUGGGCUGGGAGGGGUAUGCUCCAGAUAUUGUACGUUUGACUUCUAAUUGAAGAUUUAAUAGAACAAACUCACACCUGUGCCCAUCUUUCCAUUAGUCUUCACUUGUUUAUGAACUGAAUUUUGGUUUUUAGUUAGAAGUCAUAUAGAUCUUACAUGGGGAUUUUUUAUUUUUAUUUUUAUUUUAUGUUAUUUUCUUUUUCCAGUGUUGCGGUAAUGACCAGGGCUUAUCCCGAGUACUUUGAAAAGCAUCAAGAGCUCUUUCUUCUCCAGAGCGUAGCCAGCUACCUGCUUCUUGCAUGUGGUGUGAUUUAUAUUAUAUCUGUAAGUUCAUGAAUCAUCAUUAUGAUAGACGAUAAUUUACUUUCCAAUCGGUGAUAACAUAUCUACUUGUUAAUCACUUGCUGCAACUCAGAAAUAUUUUUCUCUAAGUAUCACCAUUUUACAUGUCCAUAGUUAUAUAUUUCUUUUCUUUAGGUGAAUCAAAGUUGAUAUUUCAUCUAGUUAAACGAUGUGCUAUUUCAUUUCAUGUCUAACUGUACCCAUAUUAAUUUCAGAUGCAGGGUAAAUAUCUUUCCAAUAUGUUAUUUAUUGUUUUUUAGGGAAUAUUAUGCAUUGGUGUUUUUAAGCGUGCUCGCCAGAAGAAAGAAUUUUCUAGGGAUCAAGCAAUUAAGGAUCUCCAGGUAACCAUCUCGUGGCAAAAAGGCAAACAUCAUAUCUACUUUAUUGUGCAUCUACCUGCCCUUAGUGUAAAUCCAUUACUGAAACAUGCAGUUUUGUUCAUUUUAAUUGAUUCUAGUUCCCUUCCCAUCAAAAAAUAGGAAGAAAGAAGUACAGAUUAGUUUCUGGUCUAGCUGAUACAUGUUUUCUUCCCCUUCGUCUGUGUUUUUGCACGAUAUUUAUCUUUCUAUAACAAUUAUAGGAUCUGGAGCGCCGUAAAGAAGAGCUCGAGUCACUGUUGAUUGUAGAGGGUGCUUGAAUGAGAUUGGAGACUAUAGACCCACAAGAACAUCCCAUUCUUCAAACUAGACGAGCAAGACUUUCAGUUUGAAUGAUAAUCUAAGUCCUAUUUGUAUAAUUGCAUAAUUUCUUGACCGCGAUUAAUUUUCACUAUCUAAUAGCUUACUGCUGUUUGUUGUACAGUUACAUGCGUUAAUCUGCAGUUCAAGUUGCGCUAACCUGAUAGAACUCUGUUCCCUUUAUUUAUUUAUUUAUUUUUUGAGUUCAAAGGAUCAAUGAAAAAGAGAUUUUACAUCUUUUGUGUAACUUUGCUUGAUUGCCAUUUGCUUUGCUAUUUGUAUUUGAAGCGCCAGGCCUAACAUGAGUACGAAUGCAUUUUCAUGAAAUUAUUAAGGUUAUCUGUGGGAUUCUUUAUUUGGUUUUCUAGGUUAUGUGGUUGAUCAAAUGAUUCAAAUUGAUCCACAAUGAACUUGAAAUGAUUCGGUAAGUUUAGGGUUUAACCAUUGUUAAGUCGUGUGUUCAAUACUGCUCACUAAAUGUAUAUUUGAGACUCAUGAGAAUUAGAAUCGGCCAAUUUCAUUUUCUUUCUCCGUGGAACCAUAUUUGAUGCAUUUGUUGAUUGUGGUGAGAAAAACAUACACUCUCUCUUCCCCAAUUCACAUUUCCAUUAAAUGGUUCCUCUACGAUGUUUAUGCUGGUUGCAUUUGGGAGGGUUAUUUCCGUAAUUAACUUUUUAUAAUAAUGGUCUUUUGGUCCAAAUGGGUUUCAACGUGUUCUGUCAAAAUUAAAGUGUAGUAACAAUAUUUUCGUGCACGCCUCAAUUUUUUAACAAUUAUUUUACUAUUGCAAAAUGAAAAACGUCAUUAAAAUGAGAUCUUAAUGAGAUUCAAACAGAGUGAAAAAUAUAUACCAUGACGUUUCACAUUCUAAUCAGGUAAUUUGAAUUAUGUAUGACAAUCCUAAGAGCCGUCACAUUGAUUUGAAAAAGAAUAAAGAUAUUCGAUACACUUGAGCAAUACACUUACAGAUACUUAGGCCCCGUUUGAUUACACAAAAUUUUCCAUAGAACUUGAAAUUCGAAUUCCAACUUUCAUUUUUGGCUUGUUUGAUUGACAAAAUUUUCUAGGGAACUGAUUUUCCAUGAAUUUCUAGGUACAACACCUUAAAGCGUAAUUUUCCACCUUUUAUUUUCCUAGGAUAGGUUGUUUUUGAUUUUCCACCUUUUUUUUUAAUUGUUGGCAAUAUGAACAAAUUCUAGGAACAAUUGUAUAUCCCUGAAAUUGAUAAUUUUCAUGUAAAACAAAGUCAAAUGUACACCAAAAUAUAGAUGAUUUUUUUUUUUUUGGGCAAUGGAAACAAAUUCUAGGAAGGUAGAAGUAGAUAUUCCUUAAAUUGACAAUUUUCAUGUAAAACAAAAUCAAACGAACAACAAAAAACAAUUUUAUUUUAACAUUUUUCACAUGGAAAAUUAUACCAUUCAAAUACAAUAAUUUACAAUUUGUAGGAAAAUAAUUUCUAGAUAAUUCAAUUCCUUGGAAUUCAUUUUUUUUCCACCCAAAUUUCAUCUUCGCAAUCAAACAGACUCUCAAUACACAGAAUUAACCAAUAUGAUUUCAUUAUCUUUUUUAAUAGAAAUCAAUAUUGUUGAGUCCACUUGCAGAAUAGCAUUGAGGAACAAAACAAGAACAUGGAGUUUCAAGGCUUCAUGAUUUCAAAAUCUUAAUUUAUUUUCGGCCUUCACUAAUAAAAAAUAAUUUAAUGAGUAAACAUUCUAAGCCAAAUGUGCUUCCAAAGGAAAGAAAGGAAACAUUACUCGAACAAGUUCCUGUAGGAGAUAUAAAAACCUGUAUGUAUUAUAAUGUCAAUGUGUAUUAACAGUUAUGUACCCUGAGAAGGAAGAGCAGUAAAAUUACAUUAACAAAAUGCCCUUGCUCCAAUAAAACCUAUUCAUGUUCUUAAAGGUUUCAGAAUAACGGGUCUUAACCCUCUUCUUAGCCUUAAAACUAAAAAACUAGCCGAGCUGUACAUGAUUCAAUAAACAUCUAUCAUAGGCAAUUUGGAACGGCCUUCUGCAAAAACAUCUGUUAUAAUAUGGUUAUUUCACGCUGUUCCUCAGAAUAAGACGAGCUUCUUCGUUUUUUUGCAGAUUUCUUUUCUUCUGUUGCUGAUAUAAAUUGCACCGGAUUCAUUCUGUGACUGAUCCUAGUGGUGGAUUCAGCUUCUCGAUAGCAUGAUGCCGGAAAUUUAUCUCUGCAGGAAGGAGGAUUCCCAGUGUUACUAAUGUCUUGUCUCUCAUUUUCGUCCUCAGAAUCCUCAACAACACAUGCUGCAAGUUCUGCAAAGGACAUGGAAGAGUACUCACAUUUGUCCUCGUUUCCAGAAUGGGUUGCAACUUCUGGGACCCAAUCUUCCUCAAUCUGUUCAUCACUUAUGAUUUGAAACGCGCCACCGGAACUCCUUGAAGUUUCCAAGGAAGACUUUGUCUCCACCACUCUCAAACUACUAGGUGAACUCAGGAUGAUCAAAGAUUUAGUGUCUUCAUGGCUGUUUGCUUCAUCUUCCGGUGAAGCAACUUGCUCCCCAACUGCACCCUGUUUGGAAUAAGAGGUCAAAAUAGGAUAAAAAGCUCAGCCACAAAAUACAUUGUUAGCGUUAAAAGCACGUAUAUAAUGCAAUUAAACAACAAAAUCUUGUGGCAAAAAUCUUCAUAUAAAACAUUAAUAAUCUUCAACUCAAAGGCCUGCAUAUGUUUGCUGUAAUCAGAAAGCGCAAAGGUUCAAAGAUGCCACAUGAAUGGAGAAAUUUCAAAGUUCAAAUAUUCCAUGUAAAUAGUUGCAGGAGCUGAUGUAUCUGUUGCAAUUUUAAUUACUAUGCCACAAAGACCACUUCACCACAGAAAGAAAACCACGAGAAUACUGUUACUUUUAGGAAUGAGGCAUUUCAAAUCAACAUUAAACAACGCACUAAUGGUCCAAGAUUUUUUUUUCCAUGCAUUAAAAAGUAAAUGCCAAUUGCUCAUAGAGAAUUACCUCAAUUGGAAAUGUGGGGUUAUUAUAUUGUUCCAUUGACACCAUUUGAAAUAUAUCAACAUUAAACAACGCACUAAUGGUCCAAGAUUUUUUUUUUCCAUGCAUUAAAAAGUAAAUGCCAAUUGCUCAUAGAGAAUUACCUCAAUUGGAAAUGUGGGGUUAUUAUAUUGUUCCAUUGACACCAUUUGAAAUAUACUUGGAUGCAUAGAAUCGCCAUGAACAAACUUCGAUUCUCCAAAAGUUUGCUGCCCACUAAUAAUGGAACCUAUUGGUUCCCUUGAUAUACCGUUUUGGUUAUUAACAUAUGGAGCAUCUUUCUUGGCAUUCUCUCUUACAAUUUUACAGAUCAACUUUCGGAUAUGAUCACGCUUUCGAAGGGACACCUCGUCAGGUGGGAACCAGUUCUUUUUAAGCUGCAGAGGCAAAUAGAUGUUUGCCUAAAUUAUAAUUUGACAAAAAAUGUGAGAAGCAUAUAUCCAUCCUUUCUACUGUAAUGACCAUAGAUAAUUGAACAUCAAACAAAUGGACAGUACUAUAGCAGUCCAGAAACAUAUUGUGUUAAUAUGGAAACUCUAGCAUGUUAGAACAAUUAGCUUCCACUCUGAAUAAAGCUAUUCAGCAUCAAUCGCUCAAGGGUCACUUAUCUUUUGAAAUGCUAACUGAAAAAAUUUCUUCCUCCUACAGAACAGAAGAUAACUCUCCAAGUAUGAACAUAUUGUUACCGCAAUUCGCUAAAAAUUGGGCUUACAAUCAGAAAGGGGAGAACACAAGACUAUUCAAGUUAAUGUAUUAGGGAGAUUAAGAGCCCAUUUGGCAAGGCUUUUGAAAAGGCACAAGCUGCUUCUGAAAUUAAGAAGCUCUUUCUGGUUCUGUUUGAAUAAUUUUCUGGGAGUGGUGUUUUAUCCGGUUAGAAAAGCUUUUUAAAAAAGCUGGCCAAAUGUGAUUUCCUCAUGGAGCUCUUUUACAAAAAGUAGAAGCCUUGCCAAAUGGGCCGUUACUAAUAUUCGAGGUCCAGGUAACCAAUGAGAAAACAACUUACAAAGUUUGGACAUUCGUUUAGGGUUGUUAGGCUGAAGUUACUGGGAACCUGCUCCAAAAAAAGUUCUGCAUAGUGAAGCAAGAAAAGGCCACAAUCGAACCAGUUUUCCUGCUGUGGAAGCUGGAAAAACAAAACCAAAAGACUAAUAUUGACAAUAAUGAUCUGUAUUAAUGUCCUGUAUAAGGAAAGGAGGAAGAUGAAACAUUUAAAAUGAUGAAAAACAUAUAGCAGUGUGCAUUCUUAUAUUUAGUAGUGGUAACUUUAGUUACAUGCACCUUAGAACAGUUUGCAAUCCGUAUACAUAUAAAUUGAUGGCAAAAAGAAAAGUCAAAGAAAGCUAUCUGUCCAGAUCUACUAUGACAAGAAAGCUAAAGUACUAUCCACUGACAUGUCUACAUCUCCAAGACAAACGAUGUAUGUUAAUUUGCGAAGAUAACAUUUGUUGAGAGAGUAAAAGCUACAUUUACAUUUUGGUACUAGUUGAUAAUGAAGGAGAGAGCAUCUAUAAACUCUAAUUUUUUUAUGAACACGGUAAUGUUAAUAAACUUCAUAUUCUCUUUCCUUAUUCCAUCUUUUAUUUUCUUCUUAUAUUGCGUUGGAUUGCCCAAAUUUUCCAUUGAAAAUGUCAUUUUUCCACCCAAAUUUCUAUUUUUUUUUGUUGUUUGAUUGAUAUUUUUUCAUGAAAAAUAUUUUCCUACUUUUGAUCUUGUGACCAUAUUUUUCUUGAAAACAAGGAAAAUAUUUUCUUUAGGGGGAGUAGGUUCUUAUUCCAAGGUAAUAGGUUUUAUUUUUUAAGUAAUUCACUCAAUCUCUCUCUCUCUCUCUACCUACCAAUAAAAAAUGGACAAGUAUAAUAUUUCUAGAUUGAAAAUAAAAUCAAUCAAACACAUUUAAUUGACAAUUUUCAUGCAAAUAAUUUAUAGACAAUUUAAUUGCUUAGAAUUUAUUUUCUUUCCAUGUAAAUUUUAUGUUUGCAAUCAUACACACUCUUAUUCUCCUCUUCAAUAUUCUUCAAUGAAGGAUGAGAAAAUAUGAAAAAUGUACAAAUUAACAAUGAUGAUGAACAGCUCCUUUCACUCCUUUUUUCUUUAUAUUUGCUCCACCUUCUGUCUUCACCAAACCAGAAGAGUAUGAAUUGUAAAAGUAUCUACACUCAUCUACCACAUUGAACUUCAUUCUUCCACCCUUUUGGCUCAAUUCCAUUCCAAAAACAUUAAAAUGCAUUCCUUAAAUAUGAAACGUUCAGAACCUAAUUUGAGUAAAAUAAGACAUAAGAGACUCUGAGGUAAACAUACCUCAAAGUGAUUCACAUUUAAAUCGUGUGAAUUCUUUUCAUCUAGACAUUAUGGGAGAAAAUUUGUACAUUUAUUAUUCAAUUAGGAAAUAUAAUUGUACAGGAAGGAUACAAGCAAUCUUAUUCGCUGAGUUUCUUUAAAAGUGCACGUUGAACUGCUUGUACCCCUGCACAAUAAUGAUUUUAUAGAUAGUUACAGAGGUACACACAGGCAAGAGAGACAAAGAGAGAGAACCUCAAGUGCGACAAAUGGCAAAUUGAAGAACUUCGCUGAAAUAUCUUCUGCCAGUUCCCAAUGUCUGUCUUUCCAUUCUUCCCACAAGUAACUGAUGUUUCAUGACAAGAAAAUUUUACAUUAUCGUGGUAUCGUAAGACUCAAAUCAUGCAAACAUACAAAGCAAUACCCAGAAACAACAUUAAGUGAAAAAAACAUCAACCAAAUACUUGCAACAAAUAAUAUCAAAUAUAACAUAGUUUAGAUGGCAUUCACUUUAAGUAGUUCCAGAAACGGUCAAAGUUUCCUCCCAAACCAAAAGGAAAAGUACUAAAGAUUUGAAUGCCUUCUAAAUCCCCCUCAUGCCAGAAAUUUAGAUGCAUGGUAGCAACUUAUCUAUUUAACAAAAACAUCAACUUUUCUAUCAGUUCAUAUCUUGUAGUUUAACUUGGCAUAGAAAAUCAUGUAGAAAUUAUGAACAUAUGGAUUCAGCUUCCUUUUCCAAUCUUGUUCUUGAUGUCAAACAUAAAGCAAAAUGGAGGACCAUUUAAUUUUUUAACUUCAACUGACAAAAUUGAACAACGGUGGUUGGGAAAUAAUAAUCAAAGAGUUUUGGAAGCAGUUAAUACUAAGACAUUGUUGAAAGAAAAUUGGUUGGAAGUUCAAUCAGUGAGGAGAGGACAAGUGAAUUGAAUACGGUUUCUUUACCUCGCCAUAAAUGACUUAACAAAUUUAUAUAAUUUAUAACAUUGAGAAAAAGACAGUUAACAUGGCCAGUUAGCAACUUUCAUCCACUCACAACCAUCUCUAAUAAAUGUUCGUGAAACUAUGUUGACCCCAAAGGAAUUCUGAAAUAUGACGUUAUAGUAGGCCUCCAUUCACCUUUAGUAAAUGCCACUGACUGGUUUUGAAUAUCAACUUUCAGAAGCUUACCCUUUAAUGAGAUUCUGCAGUCCGGUAUGGCUUCCUUUUAUGGAAUCCAUGUGUAAAAUGCACGGUUUCUUAUAUAACUCGCCCAUUUCUUCGUCUGCAGAAGAGAUAAUUUUAGGUGCGAUGACAGCAGUGAUUAAAUAACAAAUACUGCAAAGAAUGGCACAAAGUAGUCAUACCUCUUAAAUUUUCCACUUCUCCAGGGUGACAGAUGACGAUCAAACUCCAAUGAAGACUGUCAAAUGUGGGGGGGAAUCUAAGAGAGGGCCAAAAUACAAUUUCGAUAUUUAAAUUAUUUUAUUAAUGGCUUAUUACCUAGAGUUAACAGGAAUAAAUAUAUAAUCUUUUUCAAAAAUGUUUACAUUCCUUGUCCAUUUACAAACACGUUGAAAAGCUUUUCUUCCUUCCCAGGUUCUAGAUGAACCUUGAUCCAGACAAGCCAGCUUCUGAAAGAAGAAAGUGUUGAAAAAAUAGAACCUAUGCUGCUCCUUUGGAUUGGUUUUGUUCGCAAGAUACCUGCCAAUUAGUUCCCUUUACAGGUUAAUUAUCUACAACGUCCAUAUAAAUGGUAAACAGGAUAAGUUACAAUAAUUAUAUGAACAUGCACUGAUGAGUAUGAGUUUCCAGAACAUUUCAAUAAAAAUAGGCACUGCAAUAUCUACUCACGUAACGCCAGCUAAACAUGAUACUGGUAAGCUAGACCCUUGCAUCAUAAACAAACCAUCCAAAAUACGAAAAUCAUCAAUAUAAUUGCUUUCAAGUUCUUACUUAAUAUAGAAGUCAAUGAUAGUAUCAUUGAUGAAUGUCUUUGGCUGCAAAACCUCAACAUCUCUACUGCGUAUGGAGAUAGCAUCCGGAUCCCUAUCUGGAUAUAUUAGAUCUUCAAAGGGCUGGUUGGAACUAUAUUCACUGAAAUUCAAGCAACAAAUGUCAUCCAAUCAGUAAAAUUUUUGACACAAAAUAAAAUAGGGCUCCCGGAUCUUAUUCAGAAAUAGCUGACAUUGCAUUCAAUCAUGUGCUAAAAGGUCAACAAUAUUAUCUUAUUGAUAAAUUGAGAAAGAGAAGAAAAAUCAAACCAGGUCACAGAAAGAACAAAAAUAAGAGAAAAUGAAGAAAGUAUGUACAUCAAAAUCAGCAAAAUACAAUAGAGGGGUUGUUUGACAAAGGCUUUGAUAAAAGUUUUAGCAUAUUUUGAUAAAGUUUUGGGUCAUACGAAAUUUGUGGUUAAAAUUGAUGUUUGAUCGGUUGAAAAGUUCAUAAAAUUUUAGUAAGGUUUUAUCAAAUAAGCACAGAAUAAACUUGUGUUCAUCCAAGAAGGAUGUUAAAAUACAGAAUUAGAAGAUCUAUAAAAGUCGAGCAAGUUAACACGUGCAAUAGUAUUCAUAUUUUGAAUGUUCUGUUAAGGAAAACAGGGCAGCUAUGGACACAUGAAGUAUUAAGCAAGGAUAAUGAAGAAAAGAAAUAUCCCACUAGAUCAAGGCACUAUGAUUUAAGAUAUAGUUACUUGAUACUCUACACAUCCAUAAUUAUUGCACCCAUGCACAAGCCUAUGGAAAAAGACAUGGAAAACCAGGACCAAAUCCCCGAACUUAUGAAAGAUCUCUAGUGAACCUCUGAGCUGUUAGUUCUCCUCAUUCAAUAUGGGAUGACAGGUUUUUUCUUCAAACGCAAGAAAAUGGUCUGAGCAAGCUUGAUGAGGAAUAGUAUUGUCCCAGAAGAUCCACAAAAAAUGACAUUUCCUUUUCAAUGUGACUUUGGAAAAAAAUGUUAUUCCAGCUAAAGAAAUCAUCUUGACUAUGGAUUAAACUAAUACGGAAAAUGAUAGAUUAGAAAAUUAGGACUUUUACUCUUUUAACAUGCCCAAGUAAUUAAUAAAUAGACACUAAAGGAAAUUGGAAAAGUAUGGUUCAAAGCACCAAACUGGAAAAGAACAUAAGAGAACAGAUAAAAUGGUAAGAUUCAUCGCAAAUCAAAGAUAACAAAGUAAAGUCUUCAUGCAAAAGAUGAUGCAACAGUUUCUUUGAUGAGCUUCACAUGUUUACCCAACAAACAAACAAUAACUUAAUAAGAUAAGAGGAUCCAGGAAGAAGCAAUGAUUCACUAAUGCAUGAGUACCAACCUUUCAACAGUGCUCCAAGAGAUUUUAUAUUUCAUGUCCAAGGAUUUAAUUUCUUCUAGUUUUUCAGACCAAUGAGUGUCAUUAGAAACUACAAACUCCAACUUCACCGUGCCUGCACUCCUCCAUAAAACAAAAUUAAACGUCAAUCAGCGGAAACCAACUUAUUGCAUAAGGAAUGCCCACGUUUCUCAAUUUUUUAGAAGAAAAAUGACUCAAGAUGCAUACAUCAAGAACUAACGAGGAAAUAUAAAGAACAGGAAAGACAGAAAAAAAUAGAGCAAGGGUAAUACACCAAACAAUUUUAAUUUUUAAGCCAACAUGACCCUUUUGCGAUAAGUAAGCAAGCAAGCAAGCAGCAAUUAGGAAUUUUCAUCCAUUCGGAAGGGCAAAUGAAAGCUGAAUGUGUUGUAUAGAACCAGAAAACAUCAUUGAGGAAGGCAUUCAGGUGAAACGUACAAACCUGCAGCUUUACUAGAAAUUUCAGCUGUGUUUCCUUCAUUGCAUAUUAAUUUAAACGUUACAACAGCCACUUUAACCUACAGUCACGAAACUUAAAAUUUGGGAUGAAAAUCCAUUGUGUAAGACGAAAUUCAGGGAAGUUAGCCAUACUCACAGUUUCACAAAAUUCAUGUUCGAUGUUCACAAUAUUAGAAAUAGGCCAUUCAUGGCAACAAGGUUCCUUUGUCUGCCAUGGGGGUGAACCCUCUAGUUUGAUGGAUUUGCAAGAAAAUGUCAACAAACACUUUGUAUAAUAUGUAUUCCCAAAUUUAACAUAAUUGGGAAUGACAACCACCAUUGUUUCCUGCAUAUCAAAACCAAAAAAGUAAGGGAAAAAAAUAGAUGUCUGCGUAAGAGCAAACAAAGAUCUGAAUGCGAGGAAAUAAAUUUACAUUCUAUUAAAGCUUUCCUAUAGGCUAACUAAGUCAUAUGCAUAGUAUUGUGAAUGAUUGAAAAAUUGGAAAAGGCUCUAGAUUUGAGUUCAAUUGCAUUGAAAUGGAGAUAGGAAUAAAAUAAUUAUUUCCCAGAGCAUCCAAAUAUUUAUACAGUUUAGUUCUACUGACAAAUGAUGUAGUGGUAACAUGCGUACAAUAUCACUUGUGUUGACGCCAUACUCAAAUGGUUGUUCUUCUAAUGAACCUGAAACAUAGCAAACUAUCUGCAAUCCUUAAAGAGUUUUCUGGAAUUAAAGAAAUCCAAGGAAAUUUGCGUGCUUGAAAAGACGUCUGAAAAAAUAAAAAACCUUCAUUUUCUGCUCUGGCAAUGGAAGAAGACGAUCUUAAUCCAAUUCUUAGAUCAUCAUCAGAAUCUACAUCAAGUACCUUAACCUGCAGGAAAAAUAAAAUUGAUCGAUUAUGAAUAUUUAAAGGUCUAUGAUUCCUUGCAGAAAGAACAAACUAAGAAGUCAGGUACAUCAGUUAAACUUUGAGGUAGAGUACUGUCGAAGCAAGUACGCUUCUUAUCAGUUAGGCUGUCUCCAGGUUGUCUGGCUCUCGGUGAACAGGAUUUUGCACCAUCAGAAUAACAUUUGAAAUCAAGUUGUUCUGGAGAAGUAGCCGAUAGUAUAUAGUCUGAAGAACUAGAUGAUAGAGUGCCAUCCAACUGAAUGCUUCUGUCGUCUGCAAGACUGUCAUCAACAUCGAUGACUAAUAAUUUAUUUCCAUAAUCAUUUUGUUGAGUCUUGGAACCUUUUGCAACUACAAAAAUAUAUAUAUUUUUAAAAAAAAAAAUAAGAAAUUAGAAUUCUACGCCAACAUGAUCAUACAAGUUCAAGAUACAACAAAACAAAAAAUAUAAGUUUGAAGAAUAUAAAAAUAAAGCACUUCUUCAAAAUCUUAACUUUUUGAAGUGCUUAAAAAGAUAGGUUCAUAUUUUUUUUUUAUUUUUUUUUAUUUUUUUGAUGACGGGAGAACCCGCAGCCGCUAUCCUUCAGGUGCACACGAGGUAAAUCCUCGAGCUGACGCAAUAGCUUGCAAACUACGUCAGUCAGGUAAACCGCACUAAGCAAGCCCGAUGCAAUAGGCUCGACCGAGAAAGUAUUGGUGGGGAGAAUCGAACUCGUGAUCAAAGACCUCUGCGUUCACCUACUCCAUCAACUCGGUUACCCCAUGAGAGACAAAUAGGUUCAUAUUUAUUGUACAAAAGGAGUUUCAUGGCUAAGGGGAAAGAUGCGCGAGUAACGGUGAUGGAAGAUGAGUAAAUUCCUAGAUCUAAGAUGUGAACAAAAUUCUACCCAUAACACCUGUCAGCUUUUUGUCUGAAUAAGGAAUAUUUGCCUAUUUAUAUAACAGAUCAUAUGAUAGGACACAAAUUGGGAGAACCCUAUUGGUCCAGGUCAUUUCGGGACAAACAAAUCAUUUAUGAUGAAGAGGAUGAUCAGAACAAGCGAGGAUACACGUUACACCAUAAUUUUGAAUUAGAAGAGAGAUUUCAAGAAAUAGCUUUUCGAUGGCCUCCCUUGCAUUACCAGGUAUGAGUGAGAGCAAACAUCUAAUAAUGGAUUCGAAAUUGUAACCAAGCGUCGCCCAUUGGUUCUAUCUACUCAAAAAUCAGUAAAGUCAAAAUAUAUCUUUUCUCUGCGAAUCAUUUUUUGAACAAUGGUGUUAGAAAGGGGCUUCGAAAGAACUCUUAAAAGAAGAAGGAUGCAGCUAGCAUUCUACAAAACUUAUAAGGGCCAUGCAAAUCUUUCUAAUUCUACAGCCCUAUUUAAUUCCAGGCCUCCAUAAAAAAAGAAGGAAAACCCAAGAAACAACAUUAUCAAAAGCAACAUAGAAACAUCAGCCAUCAACCUAUUUUUUGAGAUCUUCAGUUUUACACAAGGGUGUACUGACCAACACUUUAGCGUGAGGAGUGUAAAAUGAUUGGAGUAUAUUAGCUCUCCAUAUAUAAAUACCACUCAUAGUCGUCAUCAAUCCCCUAUUCUAGCAUUUACUUCGAUGUUUCUAUUUAUUAUAUCAUUCGAAAGUUCUAUUUUAGUAAUCCUAUAGAAAUUUAGAAAAUCCUGGCAUACGACAAGACAAUGGAAGAUCAACCUCAAUGCCUCUUGUCUUCCUUUGAAAAAGACCUUGCCUCCUAUUCUUCAUAGUAUUCAAUGUAAACAGAUAGCAAAUUGGUCACCGGCAAUUAGUGGUCAUAAAAAUUUCCAAGUCUAGAUUAAAGUGUGAUCUCCUCCACCAACCAAAAUUUUAACAUUUUUCUAUUUAGAAUUCAUGAACAUUAUAUAAUCACCUCGAGAAAUGAAAAAUCAAGAAAAAAAAUAUUUGAAAAAUCAAGGUAGCCGAUCAAUACAAGGAAAACAAUACUCACACUGUUGCUAUACAUAAGAUCUAAAACCCUACACAUUACCAGCCUCAAACUCAGACAACCUCGUUAUUAGUAUUCAAUCCUCGUUAUAUUGAUAAAAAUCCACUACAUACCAAAAUGUAUCAAACAUUGCACCAUCAGUAUUAAAUUCACUAUUCCUAAAUAUAUAAUGUCAUCCAUCAGAAUAAGUAACACCCUAAACACACACACACACACAUAUAUAAAAGGACUUUGGGGGGCCCCGGGGGGGGGGGGCUAGAAACUUACAGCACGUGAGGAAAUUGUACUUAUCAUUGGUGUUAUUAUUGAAUUUUGCCAUAAGUCUCUCAGCGUGGGCCUCGGUACUCUCAUCUUCGAUCGUGAAAUCGAAAACUGAGAAUUUAUUGCUCAUCGUAGUACCGCUGCAAUUGCUUCUACUUUCGAUAGUAGAAUUCUUCUUUGAUUUUCUUUUUUUCAUCAUCGUAAUUUGGGAGGGAAAAAAAGGGGUUUCGAAAAGUAGCGAAGAUUUAAAAAGUGGGUUUGAUAUAGAGAUUAUUGACGAAUUUUUCAGUUCAUCAGGAUCAAGAUUGAAGUUCUGCCCACGCAGGCAUAGCAUUUGCAUUCUCCUUUUGAGAGAGAGAAGAAAUUACAGAUGGGGUUCCCAACUAUUAAAAAUGUAGCAUGUCCCAACGUGAUAUUUUGGAAGCUGAAUGCCCAACCUUUCAUUUUGUAACAUUUGGGUCCUUAAUUGAAAAAUUUACCACCCAUUUCAGUAAUUAUUAAUUAAAACUCAAUUUUUUUUGUUAAAAAUAUAACUUUACUCUAAAGUUGAAAUAAACGGAAAAAAAAAAAAAAUCAAUAGUAACCUAACUAGUAACUAGUGUUGCUCCCAACUCUUGGUGAAUAAUUUUUAUAGUAAUAUUAUUUAGUCCCACUAGGUACAUAACUCCAGUUUAGGUGGCACUAAUGUAGAAUUAAAUAAUAAGUGAAAUUAAACGAGUUAUUUAAUUUUACCUUUCUUUUUAUUUAUUAUUUAACAUCAAUUAAAUAAUGGGUUCACAUAACAUUACUCCGAUUUUUAUUGUUUUGUUCUCUCUUUCUCUCCCUUUUUUUUCCUUAGUUGAACUAAAGAUAAAAUCAUAUUUUUCUUAAAGAAAAGGUAAAACGUUGCUCUAGGGGCUCAAAUAGCAAAACAAACUUGAAACAUUUCCAAUAGAUUAGAGACCUUAAGUGUAAUUUUCUCUUUGAAAAAUAAAGUUUUAUUGCGAAAUUUAUUGGUUUGGGAUCCGUACAAAUGAACCGGGUGGCCGCAACACAAGUAAGCGUCCAUUGAUCAUAUCGAAAUUAUAAUUUUUCUUUUUUCUUACUAACCAUACGUUUCUAUUAAAAUAAUAUUAUAUACAAUCUCAAAAACUUAUUAUUCUUUGUUAACCACGCAUUUAAAAAAAAAAAAAUACUAUUCAAGUAAGCAUUCUUUGGUCAUGUCAAAAUUAUAAUUUUUUUUCUUGUUAACCACACAUUUUUAAUAAAAUAAUAUUAUGUCCCUAUUUGUUUUCCAUUCUUUCUACAUUAAAAUGAAAAAUAUGAUCGUUAUCCAUCACAUCAAACCAUCAAAUUUGAAUUUCUAUCUCUUGUGUGGGACCCAUAACAACUAUUUUUUUCAUUAUCAUUUUUACAAAAAUGAGAAACAAACGCCCCUCUAUAUAUAAUCUCAAAAAUCAUUCUUCUUUGUUAACCACAUAUUUAAAAAAAAAAUACUAUUCCAACCAUUAAAAUUUCAAUUAAUAGGGCCAAAAGGUUCUAAAAGUUGAUAAAAUUUUAAAAUUAAUUUCAAUGCAUAUUUUAUGUAAUUUAUAACUUUUUAACCUCAUUUUUAUCAAUUUUUAUCAAAAUUUACUAAAAAUUUAAUUUUAAUCUACACAAGAUAUUGACCAAUUUUUCUUUAAUACGAAUUCCCCAAAGGUGACAUUGUAUAAUUUAUAUUAAACAUAUUUUGAUACAAAUUCUUUAAAAUUCAUUAUGAUACAAACAAGUGUUUGUCUAAGAAUUCGGAAAAAACCCAACUAUAUUAAACCUCGGUGCAAGUUAAAAUUUAAAUUUUAAUCUAAAUCAAGGUUAAUAAUUAAAUUUAAUCACAUAUUUUAUAGAUUUUCAACAAUUUUCUAACCACAUAUUUUAUCUACUUUUAUCAAAAUCAACUAAAAAUUUAAUUUUAAUCCUCACCAAAUAGAUGCUAAGGCUUCGAGAUUCAAUUAGAAGUCCUCUCAUCGUCCAAAUUUGAGCAUAGCUUGAUUCAGUACCUAUCAAUGUCAUUCUUGAACCUUUCGAGCAUUUGGUAUUCUCACUAUAAAAAAUAUCAAUAUCAAUUACAACAAUAAAUGAAAAAAUAAAUAUAUUAUCGUAAAUAAUAUUUUCUAUAGAUUAGUGCUUGUCACAUAAAAAUUGCAAUAAAUAAUUUAGUAUGGAACACGCCAUAUCCACCUUAUUGUCGAAUGAAUCCCCCAACCGGUUUCGUGUUGCCUGGAUUGUCAAUGGCAGUUGUCUUUUUCUUGUGAAUGUAUCAAUUUCCUUACUGUCAAAAAUGGAUAUUACUACCUACUUACACGUGGCAAUUAGAUGGUUAGGAUAUGAAUUGGCAGGCAUAAAAUUGGAAGGAAAAACAUUGAGAAGUUGAACUAACACACCCUUCUUCCAACCAACCCAGCCAAAUUUUGUGCUGCUUCUCCACGUCUCAUGUCUAUAUAAACUUGAGCAUAUAGUUUUACGUAUAAUCAGAUUGAGACUGAAACAAUUUGCUACACAAGUGUUAUUGAGUCACUUUGUCUUUGGUCAGAACAAUGGCUUGUAAUAAGCGCACCCCUUUUUUCUUGUUUUUGCUGAUAGCUUUACUAUCUAUAUUUGGAAACACGAUUCAAGCUGGAGCACGACGACUUUCGGAGACCUCGCCUGAGGUUCCGACACUAUCAAAGCCAGAGCUUCCACCAAAACCUGAAGUGCCUACAUUGCCUAAACUCGAGGUGCCAACGCUGCCAAAGCCUGAGCUUCCACCGAAACCUGAGUUGCCAACGAUGCCAAAGCUAGAGUUCCCACCAAAGCCUGAAUUGCCUAAGCCUGAGUUGCCUACUGUGCCAAAGUUCGAGGUGCCAACAUUACCAAAGCCAGAGCUUCCAGCAAAACCUGAAUUACCUAAGCCAGAGUUGCCCACAAUGCCAAAACUUGAGGUGUCAAAACCCGAGGUGGCAAAGUUACCUAAUCCAGAGCUCCCACCAGAACAUGAAUUGCCUAAGCCCGAGGAGCCCACGGUGCCAAAACCUGAGGUGCCAACAUUGCCAAAACCAGAGAUCCCACCAAAACCUGAGAUGCCAACCUUGCCAAAGCCAGAGCUUCCAACACUACCAAAGCCAGAGCUCCCAUCAAAACCCGAAUUGCCUAAGCCCGAGUUGCCCACGGUUCCAAAACCCGAGGUGCCAACAUUGCCAAAGCCAGAGCUCCCACCUAAGCCUGAGUUACCUAUAGAGUCCAAACCCGAGGUACCAACAUUGCCAAAGCCAGAGUUCCCAGUUAAACCCGAAUUGUCUAACUCAGAGUUGCCUGCAAUGCCGAAACUUGAGGUGUCAAAACCCGAGGUGCCAACACUACCAAAGCCAGAGCUCCCACCAAUACCUGAGUUGCCUCCUUUGCCUAAGCCAGAGUUACCUACAUUACCAAAACCUGAGAUUCCAACAAUUCCAAAGCCUGAAAUGCCAACUUUGCCAAAACUUGAAGUACCUAAACAACCUGAGCUUCCUAAACCCACUCUGCCAGAAGUACCAAAAUCCCCAUAAACUACAAAUUUCUAUUAAGUAAUCAUAGUUGGAUUUCAUUCAAUUAUAUUGAUGAAUUUGUUUAGGAUUCAUCCCUUCAUCUUCUAGGAUGAUUUCAUCAUAUCAUGUCAUAGUCAUACUUGUGUUGUUGUUUUGUCAUUAUUUACUAUCUUGUAAUGGUUAUUCAUGAGUUACAGAUAGCCUACGUUUGAUUGUCAUUUAUACAUUUACGAUUUAUAUAUGCUUUUGUUUCAUUUAUUUCAUACGAGUUUUGAGUUUUCUUGAUACUGAUCAAUUUCGUUAUUUUCAAUAUUGGACAAAAUUUUCUUCCAAAAUAAUAGUAUCUUUUCACUUGAAGAACUAUUAUAUUAUUGUAUGGAUAAAAAAAGUCUCCAUCUCUCUCAUGGCUGGCCCCAGACUCGAGCAAAGGGGGUUAAAAUUAUCAAAUAAUCUUCACAAUAUUAAAGGAAAAAAGUUCUGUAAGAGUUAUUUUUUAGUACAGUUGUGCUAUGCGUAUAAUCGGGGUUGACAACCCCGGUUGACAAUUAGACACAUGGGAAGGGGCCCACGUUAAAUAAAAAAAUCGUGAGUCUCCCCUCCUGUGAGUGCAUUGUCAACUGGAGUUGUCAACCCCGAUUGUAAUUUGUACAAGAUGAAUAAUUCUUUUUAGUAUGUCAUUUCUGUAGAAAAUUCUGCAAUAUGACCAUCUCACCUGUAACAAGAAGAAAAAUAAACGUAAAUUUGAUUGUUGAAUUGUUUUUAUUUUCACAAUUCGUUGUAUUUUAGAUACUGCUUAUGGAAUGGAAUUAGUAAUUUGCCCCUGAUUGAUGUUGUAAUAUAUUACUUAAGCGGAAAAAGUUCCUUUUUAUUUAAAUAUUGUUAUCGAAAAUUUAGUUCUUACUUAUAUUCUAAUGAUGUAAUUCUUUGUAGCACAAUUAAUUAUAGAAAAAAAAAAUGAUCCAGUUAUGAUAAUGUAAUCAAUCAGACAUAUUGACGACCGACUUGAAUUUCCUGAUAAAUAAAUACUAAUUUAGUGAAAUAUUGGAUGUGUCGAAGUGACUAUUAUGACAAAAAAUUCAAUUCAUCGACAUCAUUGUGACAAAUUGAUUAAGUAAAAUUUUGUUAAAAGAUCAAUAACGUAUAGUUUGUGCUUACCCAAUUUCAUUCUAAUCUGAAACGCGAUUCAAAAUUCUCUAAACAAUUAAGAUUAACGAGUUUGAAAACAUAAAUUAUAUAUAUCGAUGUAUGUGUUGAGAUAGAUUUCCCCCCCUCACGUCUAUGGAAGCCUCUGAAAAAUUCAUCUUUGUUUGAAACAGUAAGAUCAUUCGUCUAAAUUUGAUUAUGUUAAAUAUUAGCCAGGGUUGUUCAUCGAGAUUAUAGACUAUAAUUUACUUUGGGGCUUAAAGAUGAUCCCAAAAUGUUAAAUAUGCACUUUUUUGUUUACCCAAUUUCAUUCUAAUCAAGAAACAUGAUUGAAAUUUCUCUAUACAAUCAAGAUAUACUAGUCUUCAGAACGUAAGUUAUUGAUGUAUGCGACUUUGACAUGUACAGCACGUGUAAUUGAACUUGAUAUGUGACUAUGAUAUUUUUGUUAAACAAUCCAAAGAAAUAUAAAGAAGAAAAAGGAGGAGGCUAGGGUUUCAUUGAUGCUACAUUAAUUAAUUGAAUGCUAAAGAUAGUUUAACCUAAAUAUAAAGAGAAUAUAUAUAGGCUAAACAAAGGAAACUAAAAGGACUAUUCUACCCUUAAUAAAUAAUAAAUAAUUCUAUAUUUCUUAAUAUUUCCCCUCAAACUCAUGAUGCGGCAGCUACAAGCAUCGAGAGUUUGCCAACUAGAAAAUGAAAACGAGAAAUAGAAUGCGACUUGGUAAAAAAAUAUGCAAGCUGCAAAGAAGAAGAAACAAAGGGCAAAGUAAUUGUGCCAUACUUGAGAUGAUGAUGAGUAAGAUGACAAUCGAUCUCAAUGUGCUUAGUUCGUUCAUGAAAAACCGAGUUGUGAGCAAUCUGAAUAGAACUUUGGUUGUCGCAAUACAUAGGAGUGGGAUGAGAAAGAAAAACUCCCAUAUCUGCAAGUAACCAACGUAACCAAACAAUCUCUUUAUUAGUAGAUGCCAUAGCACGAUACUCUGCUUCGGUGGAAGAUUGAGAAACAAUAGAUUGUUUCUUGCUUUUCCAAGAAAUAAGAGAAUCACCCAAAAAGAUACAGAAACCAGUAACAGACUUGCGAUCUGUGGGAUCACUGCCAUGAUCAGCAUCAGAGUAUGCACGCAGCUCCAAGGAGGAGGUGGAUGGAAGUAACAGACUCUAAAAGACUGUACCCCGAAGAUAUCGCAAAAUGCGAAGAACAGCUGCCCAAUGAAUUGUAGUGGGAGAAGCAACAAACUGACUAACAAUAUGAACAACAUAUGCAAUAUCUGGACGAGUAAUAGUGAGAUAUACCAAGCUCCCAACAAUAGUACGGUAUAAAGUAGGAUCUGACAAAGGUAAACCGUCAGAAGAAGAAUACUUCGCGUUAACCUCAAUUGGAGUAUCAACAAUCUUAUUAUCAGUAAGUCUUGCCCGCUCAAGAAUAUCUGCAACAUAUUUCGACUGAGAAAGAAGAUAACCUCUGGGUGAGAAGGCUACCUCAAUACCCAAGAAAUAUCGUAGAGAACCUAAAUCUUUCAUUUCAAACUGUCUAGCUAACUCUGUCUUCAAAACUGAAAUACUAUCAAUAUCAUCACCAGUAAUAAUCAUGUCAUCAACAUAUCAAGAUAGAAUGAUACGACCUGCAUCAGUGCUCUUAACAAAAAGAGUAGAAUCAUGACUAAUAGAAGCAAAUCCAAGGGAAGAGAUCACAACAGAAAAUUUCUCAAACCAAGCACGAGGUGCUUGUUUGAGACCAUACAAUGCUUUCUUGAGCUUGCAAACAUACUCAGAAUCAUGUGAAACACCAGGAGGGGGUGCCAUAUAAACCUCUUCUUGAAGAUCUCCAUUCAGGAAGGCAUUUUUAACAUCAAGUUGAGAGAUACGCCACUGACGAACUGAAGCUACUGCAAUAAGAAUACGAAUAGUAGUCAUUUUUGCAACAGGAGCAAAUGUCUCCUCAUAAUCCAUACCAUACUGUUGAGAGUAUUCCUUUGCAACCAACCUAGCUUUGUAUCGCUCAAUUGACCCAUCAGAAUUAGUCUUGAUCUUAUACACCCAACGAAAACCAACAACACUCUUACCAGAAGGUAAAGGAACCAAAUUCCAAGUACCAGUCUUAUGCAAAGCAGAAAGUUUCUCAUUCAUAGCUUGCUGCCAAAGAGGAUCAAGAAUUGCCUCUUUAUAGGAAGAUGGCUCAGAGAGACAAUGAAUAGAAGCUAAAAAGGUAGAAAAUGAUGAAGAAUAACAAGAAUAAGCAAAAUCUGGUAACUUUGUAGACUUACAAAUGCGUAUGGAUUGACGUAGAGGCGGAUCCACAAUCUCAGACGGAGCUUGAGGGACCGUAGGAGAAGAGGACGCUUUAGGUGUGCCGGAGAGUAAAGUGUCAGUACCUGCGGAAUGAUUAGUACGAGUUGGUUGUAAAGAUGACGGCGUAGGAACAUGAGAAUGGACAUUUGAAGUAGUAGGCUCCUGAGAAGACAAACUAUCAGGAUUGUCAGAAAAAGGAUCUAUACGAAUAAGAUCAGAUCUAGUCAGACUAUGAGUAGUGGAUGGAAUAGAAAAGAAAGGUAUAUGCUCGAGAAAAACAACAUGACGAGACACAUAAAGUUUCUGAGUUAUUGGAUCAAAACAACGAUACCCCUUUUUACCUUCACCAUAACCAAGAAAGACACAAAUUGCAGAUCGAGAUGACAACUUGUUGCGUUCUACAUGAGGACGAAGAACGAAAUAAGUACAACCAAAAACUCUAAAGAGAGAAUAAUCAGGGGUAUACCCAUACAACUUUUCGAAAGGAGAAAACCCUGAAAUAUGAGAAGAUGGAAUUGUAUUAAUCAAACGUAUAGCAGUAAGAACAGCUUCACCCCAAAACACACUAGGGACAGAUGCAGACAACAAGAGAGAACGAGCAGUUUCAACAAUGUGCCAUUGUUUUCUUUCAACAACACCAUUUUGCUCAGGAGUAUUUGUACAUGAAAUUUGGUAAAUAGUUCCAUCUAAAGCAAGCAGCUCACAAAAUUUAUUAGAAGUGUAUUCCCCACCCAAAUCACACCUAAAACAUUUGAUAACAACAGAAUGUUGAGUUUUAACAAGAGCACGAAAGGCUAAGUAUAUCUCAAAAAAUUCAGAACGAUGUUUCAUUAAAUAAACCCAACAAUAACGAGUGUGAUCAUCAAUAAAAGAAACAUAAUAUCGAUACCCUCCUUUUGUGGCAACAGUAGAAGGCCCCCAUAUAUCAGAAUGAAUCAAAUCAAAUGGAGAAGAAGAAACAGAAAUACUUCGAUUAAAAGGUAAAGCUGAAAAUUUUGCCAGUUUGCAUCCACUACAAUCAGAAAUAUCACAAGGGUGUAAAUUUCCUAAAGCUCCUGUAGAAGCUAAAAAUCUCAAACGAGAUGACGAAACAUGACCUAGAUGAGAAUGCCAUAAAUAAAAACUAGAAGAAGAAGGACUCAAACGAAAUGAAGACAAAUCAACACUAGUAGCGGCAGUAGCAACUGGCACUUUUAGCUCAUCCAAAAUAUAUAGUCCACCCUUCCUACGGCCUGUCCCAAUCAGCUUCUGAGACUGCAGACCCUGCACAUAACAAGAAGAAGAGGAAAAUGUGACUAAAUUGCCAGAAUCACAUAACUGACCAACAGAAGCAAGAUUUAAUGUGAGUUUCGGAAUAUGAUAAACAUUAGGGAGGGAUAAGUCAGGUGUGACAACAGAACCAACACCUGCUAAUGGCAUAGGUGUGCCAUCAGCAGUCAUGAUAGCAAUAGAGGACGAAGGGCACACAGAAGCAAAAGACGAAGAAUCUGGAGACAUAUGAUGUGAAGCACCAUAAUCCAAGACCCAUACAGAAUGUGACAUACCUGAAGAACUAUGAGGCAACUGACCUAUGGAAGAAGCAGACAUAGCUUGAGGCUGUAAGAAGAGAAACUUCUGAAAUUGCUCAGCCAAAGUACUAGGAUCAGUGAUAAGACCUGAUGAAGCUACUGCUGCAGUAUUAGAUUGUGGUGGUCUAUGAGCAUUAGAUCGUGAUUGGUUGCCAGGCUUCCAAGCUUGAGAUUGCUGCUGUAAUUGAUUUGACUGUCUCAACUUAGAACACUAAACCUUCCAAUGACCUUUAUGCUUACAGAAACUGCACUCGUCAAAGGCAACCCUUGUGUAAGGCUUAUUUUGAUUAUUAGAGGAUGGCUUAGAAGACACUGCUAAUACAGAAAGCUUAGAAGCAGAAAGAAUUCCAUUUUCAGCAUAAGACUUAAGACGUAUUUCUUCAGCCAAUAACUCUCUGACAACUGAGUCAACAGAAGGAAGUGGAGAACGAUGCAAAAUUGAACCUCUGAGUCCUUCAAAAUCACUGCGAAGUGCCGUUAAAAAUUGUACCAACCGUUGCUGCUCUCUAUAAGUAAUAUAGGCAGCACAUGCCUUUAAUUCUGUCGAUUCUGUAAGGGCCAAUUGAUCCCAAAGAUCUGUCAUAGCAGAAUAAAACUCCUAAAUACCCAUAUUAUUCUGAUGAAGAGCUCGUAUAUCAUUCUCCAAUUGAUACUGCUUUGCAAAUUUUGACUAAGUGAAUAAUCUUUGCAGAUGAUCCUAAACCUCCUUUGCUGUCUCAUACUUCGCCAACUCUCUACCUAUGGAAUGCUCCACAGAGUUUUUAAUCCAAGUAAUAAUUUUUGAAUUAUUUGAUUCCCAGGCAUCUAUCAAAGCAGCAUAACCCUCAUUAGUAUUCUCAGGUUUCACAGAAGUUCCACUAAUGAAUCUCCACAUCUUUUUACCCUUAAGAAAAUUUCUCAUCACGUAACUCCAAUACGAAUAAUUCUUUCCAUCCAACCUCACACUCACAGACUGAAGGGAAUCGUCUCUUUCAGUAGCCAUAAUAAAAAUAAUAAUAGAUUGCAGAAAUACCAGAUUGCAGAAAUACCAGAUUUAACAGAUUGCAGAAAUGCCAAAAAUAAUUUGGAUCCACGAAAGCUGUGUUUGAGAUUAAGUUUUGUCUCGUGAAAUUUGGCUCUGAUACCAUGUUAAACAAUCCAAAGAAAUAUAAAGAAGAAAAAGGAGGAGGCUAGGAUUUCAUUGAUAUUACAUUAAUUAAUUGAAUGCUAAAGAUAGUUUAAGCUAAAUACAAAGAGAAUAUAUAUAGGCUAAACAAAGGAAACUAAAAGGACUAUUCUACCCUUAAUAAAUAAUAAAUAAUUCUAUAUUUCUUAACAAUUUUAAGGUUGAUUUUGCCCCCUCGCGUGUAUGGAAGUGUGUCUCUAAAAGUUCAUCUUUACUUGAACCAAUAAGAGCAUUCGUCUAUAUUUGAUUAUGUUCAAUGUUAGUCAGAGUUGUUCAUCAAGAUCAUUCCAAAAUGUUAUAUACGCUCACUUUUUAUGGGCUCUAUUUGGUUUAACAUUAGUAUCAUUAAAUCUAGUUGGGAAGGUGAGGAUUGGGUGGCAAUGGACUGAGUUUUAAUAUGUAGAUGCGCUUCUUAUGUCCACCAGCUAAAGUGGUAAAGUUUGACGAGUGACGAUUCACGUACAUAAAUUUUUUUUUUUACAGACACCUUACAGAAUACACAUAGGAUGGGGUGGGUGAGUUAUUUUUUGGAUUAUUUUACUCAGUAUCUGGAAUUCUUCUAUCAAGGAUUUUUCCAAGUUUGAUAGUAAGGUAAUUAAGAAAAAUUUUAACAAAAAUUAAUAAGUAUUAAUAUUCACAUCACAAUUUUUUCUUAUUGCAUCACAUUUUAAUACACAAGUUUUCAGAGUUGGCUCAUUAUAACAUUUAUGUUCUUAACUUUUUCCAUUGAUUUUUAUAUUCAAAUUUUCAUUAAUUAAGACAUCUCAUAUUUGUUAAGUAUUUCAGUCCAAAAAGUGCGGGGGAGAACAUUAAAAAAUUUAUUUACCUAUCAUAUUUACUUGCGUCAAAAUAUUUUUCUCUACGGGCGCGUUUGAAUGCAAGCAUGAAAUUUGCAUGGAAAAAAAUAAAUUUUAGGUAAUUUAAUUGCUUAAAACUUAUUUACAUGAAAAUUAUCAAUUAAAUUUGUUUGAUUGAUUUAAUUUUCAACCUAAAAAAUAUUAUACUUUUUCGUUUUUUAUUGGUGGGUAAGUGAAAGAGAGUUAAUAGAUAAGAGAGAAAGAAAAGGGAAUUCCCUGAAAAAUAAAAUCAUACUCUCUCUAAAGAAUAUAUUUUCCUUGAUUUUGAGGAAAAUAUGGCCACAUGACCAAAAGUAAGAAAAUAUUUUUCGUAGAAAAAAAUGACAAUCAAACAAUAUAAAAGUAGGAAUUUGUAUGAAAAAACACAUUGUUCAUGAAAAAUAUUGACAAUCAAACACACCCUAAGUUUGAAGUAUGAAAAUGGAAUAUUUUUUCAAGAAAUUAUCAUUAACAAUAAGAUAGUGAAAAUUUGAAGAUAAAAAUUCGAUGAAAAAGCUAAUAAUAUACCUACUAUAAUGAUUAAAGCUUGAGAUCAUUGAGUUCAAUUAAAAUAUGAUACAACAAAUGAAAAAUGUGAUUCCAAAUAUAACCACAAAAAAACAAUUCAACCUACCCGCAAAGGCCAUGUUGAAUAAAAAAAUACGAAUAAAUAAAUUUCUACCUUUUCCCCUCCAUAUAUUUUACCUUUUGAUAAUUCAUAUAAUAAAGCUUAACUAAUCUCCACCAAGGACAAUGCAGAAAGUCUAUAUUUGAUUUUGAUUAGUUGAUGUCACUUAUUUUUCACUUUAUUUUCGAUCGUGCAUUCUUAGAAAAAUCAUUUUUUUAAUUUUCAUAAUUUUCUUUAUUUCCUUCAAUAAAAACGUUAAGAAUUUGACAAAGUUGACAAAUUCUCUCACGUAUGUGAGUCAAUUUCACAAUUCUCUCAUAUAUAUGAAUUUUACUUCAACAUCAAUUGAUCAAAGAAAACAAUCUUGUCUCAUAAUGUGACUCAUCAAAACCCUAGUAAGAAAAGUUGAAAAAAUUGCAAGAACCUCAUAAUCGGUCGACACUCGAAAUGGUACUAUAAUUUAUCCAAGUCUAACAUUAUUGAUCGAAAUUGGACCAAAGUCGACAUUUCGAAGUCAUCCUUAAUCCUUGUGAAAGUCAUAUAGAGCCACGAAUCCCAUUCUUUAACAUAUUGCAUAAUUAACAAUGACAUUCGUCUAUUACUACUUACCAAUUUGAGCUUUGAAUCCUUGUGGAUUUGAUUAGGUAAAUUGUCCAUAACUGGCAAAUUAAAACAAUUUUUUUAUCUUGAUCCCAAUGGGACAAUUUGUCCGUAGCAAUUAGAUAGUUAGGGUAUGAAUUAGCAGAUAGAAAUUUGGAAGGAAAACAUUGAGAAGUUGAACUAAUGCUUGCUUCUUUCUACCAACCAAGCAAACAUUUCUGCAGUUUCACCACAUGUCAUAUCUAUAUACACUUGAGAACAUAAAAAUUUAUGCACAAAUCAGAUCAAGAUUGAAACAAUUCUCUAGAAAAUGUUGCUCAGUCACUUUCGUAUCCGUUAGAAAAAAAGGCUUUCAAUAAGCACAUCCCUUUUUUCUUGUUAAUGUUGAUAGCAUUGCUAUCGAUAUGCGGAACAAGAUUCAAGUCGAGGCAUACAUCUCUUAGAAACUUCGGAUGAGGUUCCAACACUGGCAAAGCCAAAUCUUUCGCCAAAACCUAAGUUGCCAACACUGCCUUGUAUGGAGAAUAACCUUGUGCGAAUCCACACCGAAAAGAUUGAAAGAUAACUUCUCUUCCAAUUAUUUUUCUUUCUUCCAGCAGCUUGGUUUUCUUCUCUUUUUUCCCUAGCCAAAGUCUCCUUUAUAUUUUCUAUGUAGCAGCUACAGAUUGAGUUUCUUCCCAGUAGCCUCAGUUUUUCUCUUCUUGCAUACACAACCACGUUUUUGGGACCAUAUGUGUGUGUGUGUGCAACUUUUGUUGACCUAAAGAAAAUAAAGAGGUGUUUGGGCCUUUUAUUCGUCAUGGGCUGGAGCCUAUAUAACAAUUUUCCCCUCCAGCCCACCGAGAAAGAGGUUAUCCUCUAACAAGUUAGUUAGAGUCUAUGUCAGCCAAAGCGGCACAAAGCUCAAGCGUUUCUUUGGUCACAAUCUUUGUCAUCAUAUCAGCUGGAUUCUUCUCAGCUCUAACAAUAUCAACUAUUCUGCUACUACUUGUCUUAACCAAUGAUAUCUCACAUAAAUGUGUUAUGUGUUGGCAUGAGUCAUUAAAAUCACAAGAAAAUAGAAACCUUAGCUGUAUGCUUGUAACAAAUCCCUUAAUUCAAGGAUCCACCAUGAGUUCAGCCGUGUAUAGUGUAUAGGCUAAGAAUAGGUCUUGAAAUAAUUCCUUCUUGUAUCUAUAUAUUCCGUAAAUGUUUCAAAGGAAAAUAUAUGACAGUUUAUAAGAAAAUUCACUCUAUGACAUGGUAUCAGAGCAUGGUCUUGGGCUUCCUGUGAACUGAUAGAGAAAGGGAACCCAAAUAGCUUGGAAUCCAUGGCUGACUCCACCGAUUUGGUAUAGCCACCAAACACCUCCACUGAUUCAAUUCUUGACAACCUUACAACCAAAACGACAGAGGCUUUGACAAAGGUCCAGACCACAUCACAAUUGCCGAAUACCGAUUCCCCUACUGUGCCGAUUAGCAUUAAGUUGGAAAGAUCCAAUUAUGCUAUAUGGUCCCAGGUGGCUGAGAUGUACAUCUCAGGCAAGGGCAAACUGUGAUACAUUAAUGGAGACUUUCCUCAACCUUCUGAAACAGAUCCGAUAUUUCGUAAAUGGCGUACCGAGAAUGCGAUAGUGAAAGGAUGGCUGAUAAACUUAAUGGACCCGUCUCUGGUCGUGAAUUUCAUCCGCUUCCCAAUGGCCAAACAGGUUUGGGACUCCAUUGCUACUACAUAUUUUGAUGGAACUGAUACUUCACAAAUUUAUGACCUCCGGCGUAGGGUAACUCGGAUGCGGUAAGGAGGAGGAUCAAUUGAAAAAUACUACAAUGAUUUACAAGGGCUGUGGCGUGAGAUAGACUUCCGACGUCCUAAUCUUAUUGAGUGUGCAACAGAUAUACAAAAAUACAAUUCCUUACUACAGGAGGAAAGAGUCCACAUUUUCCUAGAUGGAUUAGAUGACCGACUCGAUAACAUUCAGAGCGAUGUACUCCAACUAAAACCUUUUCCACAAUCGAGCAGGCUUAUGCACACGUUCAAAGGGAGGACACUCGCCAGGUUGUGAUGAUAUCUGGGACUGAGAUUAUAGCCAGUGGUGCUGUUAUGGCCACUAAAAGCUCGAAACCUAGCCAACAACCAAAGCUGGUGACUGGGAAACACAACUCAUUUUCCAAGUUGAAGGGUCCAUCCGAUGGAGAAAUAUGUACACACUGUGGAAAUACCAAACACACUCGUGAUACUUGCUUCAAGUUGCAUGGGUAUCCCGAGUGGUGGCAUGAGCUGCAAGCUAGGAAGAAAAGAAACACCACAGCACUUGAGGAAGGCACGAGCAAAGCUGCUGUAGUCACGGCCGGGUCUCAACUCUCGCUUAUCCCUUUAACUGAUUCUUCCACUUCUGUAGACCAAGGUAACUGUGGACAAGUUUUUUGUAGUUCUAAUUCAUAGGAUGCGGGUGCUUGGAUUAUAGACUUUGGGGUUACAGAUCACAUGACUUUUGACCCCAAGGACUUCUCACAUACAACUCAACCACGGUGGACUUGCGUUGCUAAUGCAAACGGAGUUACAUAUCCAGUCACAGGGGCUGGAACCGUGCCAUUAUCACCCUCACUAUCCUUAUCCCAUACUCUCCUUGUCAUUUCAUUAUCAAAUAAAUUAAUGUCUGUAAGUCAAGUAACCGAGGAACUCAAUUGUGUAGUAUUGAUCUAUCCUACCUUUUGUCUUCUCCAGGAUGUUCUCAGCAAGGAGAUUAUUGGGCGUGGUACUAAGAGGAGGGGGUUAUAUUACUUAGAUGAUUUCAGCUGAGGAACAAUACAUCACGUGCAUUAUCAGAUCAGUAGCAAAGAACGGGAAAUAUGGUUGUGGCAUCGUCACUUGGGGCAUCCAUCAUUCGGUUACUUGAAGCACUUAUUUCUGAAUUUAUUCUUACAUUUACAUAAUGUUGAGUUUAAAUGUGAUACUUGUAUUUUGGCUAAGAGCCAUAGAAUUUCCUACCCUGCAAGUUUGAAUAGAAGUAUCGUUCCCUUUGCUUUAAUACAUUCUGAUGUUUGGGGACCCUCCCCUAGAAUUACUCUAUCUGGUCACUGUCGGUUUGUAAUUUUUGUGGAUGACUACACCUGAAUGACAUGGCUUUACCCUAUGAAGACCAAAGAUGAGUUGUUUCCAAUAUUUCAGGCUUUUCAUGGAAUGAUUCAAAACCAAUUUUCUGCCAAGAUUCAAGUUCUUCGGUUAGAUAAUGGAGGGGAGUUUGUCAAUCACCAUUUCCAAGCAUACUUCAAGUAGCAUGGUCUCCUCCAUGAAACCUCAUAUCCUCAGACCCCCUAACAGAAUGGCGUCGUCAAACAAAAAAAUCGCCAUAUCCUGGAGACAACCCGUGCUCUUCUUCUCGUUACACACGUUCCAACACGCCAUUGGGGUAGUACCGUGGCUACAGCUGUAUUCCUACUCAAUCGCAUGCCCUCCAAAGUCUUGCACUUUAAAACUCCCUUGCAAGUGCUCUCCUCUCAUGUCUCUUUACCUAUUGUGCUGAUGCUCCCUCCUCGGGUUUUUGUUUGUGUGGUCUUUGUUCACCUCCACAAAAACCAAUGUCCCAAGCUUGAUCCAUGUGCUGUUAGAUGUUUGUUUUUGGACUACGAGGUACAUAAAAAGGCUACAUUUGCUUUGACCCUACUACUAACAAAACAUAUACCACAAUGAAUGCCACCUUUCUUGAAUCCGAGCCUUUCUUUUCUCCUAUGGUACCCAAUUCAGAUCUUCAGGGAGAGUCUAUGGAUGAAGAGUUGAAUUGGUUAACGGCGGCUCCUGCUACCGAUGAGAAGAGACAAAUAGGAGAGCAUCAAACUGAAGUUGAAGGAACCAAAAAUAAUGAAACUACAAAGCUGGAGGAUUUGAACAUAGCUGAAGUUGAGAGUGAAGAAGUUCCUGUCAAUGGAGAGUCUAUAAACUAAGAAAGUCAAGAACCGCUUCCCUCGAUAGUACCUGACUCUUCUACUGAGAACAAUCCUGAGGUAAGCUCUCCUACUACUGCUCCAUAUGCUGCUAACUCGAAUGCUCUCGUGGAAUAUAUGUUGCCUUUCAGGCAAAAUUGAGGAAAGCCACCUAACAGAUACUCCCCUGAUGAAGAAGAGAGGUGGUCUAAAUGUCCCAUUGCAAAUUAUGUGUCCACUCAACAUCUAUCUGAGCCCAUUAAGAUCUUCACAGAGACAUUAUCCUCCUGUCACAUUCCAAAUAGUGUGGAGGAAGCCUUAGGUGAUCCUAAGUGGGCUCAAGCCACACAAGAGGAAUUGGAAGCUUUAUAGAAAAAUAAUACGUUGAGGUUGAUACCACUGCCUGAAGGAAAGAAGACAGUAGGAUGCAAAUGGGUAUUUUCAAUUGAAUACAAAGCUAAUGGAUCCAUUGACAAGGCAAAGCUGGUGGCGAAGGGGUUCACACAAGACAUACGGUAUAGAUUACACGGAGACUUUCUCACCCGUAGCCAAACUAAAUACUGUUAGAGUUUUACUAUCUCUUGCAGCGAAUUUAGAUUGGCCAUUACUCCAGCUAGACGUAAAGAAUGCCUUUCUCUAUGGCGAUCUUGCAGAAGAAGUCUAUAUGGAUAUCCCUUUAGGCUAUACAUCCUCUUCUGGAACCAAGGUUGUGCGCAAGUUGGAACGGGCAUUAUAUGGAUUGAAACAAUCACCUCGAGCAUGGUUUGGGCGAUUUAGCUCGGCUAUGAGAAGGUAUGGCUUUGAUCAAAGUAAUGCAGAUCACACUCUCUUCCUAAAGUAUCAGCAAGGGAAGGUAACUGCUCCAAUUGUUUACGUAGAUGACAUGAUUAUUACGGGGGACGAUGCCGAAGAAAUUUCAAGACUACAAGAGCAAUUGUCAGUUGAGUUCGAAAUGAAGAAUUUGGGUGGACUUAAGUAUUUUUUGGGAAUAGAGGUGACAAGGUCACGAAGAGGUAUUUUCUAGUCUCAAAGAAAGUACGUGUUGGACCUUCUGUCGGAGGUGGGGCUCCUAGAGUGCAAGCCAAUAGACACUCCCAUAGCUCAAAAUCACAAACUCAUAGAGUACAGGGACCAAGUGCCUACGGAUAAAGGAAGGUAUCAAAGAUUGGUGGGAAAGCUUAUUUAUUUGUCACAUACUUACCCUGAUAUUGCCUAUGUCGUAAGUGUGGUGAGCCAAUUUAUGCAUAAUUCGAGUGAAGAGCAUAUGGAUGCGGUGAUUCGAAUACUUCGCUACUUGAAAUCCUCACCAAGAAAGGGGUUGAUGUUCUCUAAGAAUAAUCACUUGAAUAUCGAAGGGUACACAGAUGCGGGUUGGGCAGGGAUGUUUUGGACAGAAAAUCAACUUCAGGCUACUUUACAUUUGUGGGAGGGAAUUUAGUUACAUGGAAAAGUAAAAAGCAAAAGGUGGCGACUCUGUCCAGCGCUGAAGCCGAGUUUAGAGGCAUGACAAAAGGGUUGUGUGAACUACUAUGGCUUAGAAGGUUCCUAAUGGAGAUUGGCUUUGGUCCUAGCAUGGAGAUGAACUUGUUUUGUGACAAUAAAGCUGCCAUUGAUAUCUCACAAAAUCUUGUCCAGCAUGAUCGAACAAAGCACGUGGAGAUAGACAGGCAUUUCAUUAACCAAAAUCUUGAGGAGAAGAUUAUUCGAUCGAUUUCCUUUUGUCAAGUUGGAAGACGAGUUGGCAGAUAUACUCAUAAAGGCAAUUUCUAGCAAGAACUUUAAUGACUCCCUUGACAAGUUGGGCAUUAGAGACAUUUAUGCACCAACUUGAAGGGGAGUACUGGCGUGAGUCAUUAAAAUCACAAGAAAAUAGAAACCAUAUCUAUAUGCUUGUAACAAAUCCCUUAAUUCAAGGAUCCACCAUGAGUUCAGCCGUGUAUAGUGUAUAGGCUAAGAAUAGGUCUUGAAAUAAUUCCUUCUUGUAUCUAUAUAUUCUGUAAAUGUUUCAAAGGAAAAUAUAUGACAAUUUAUAAGAAAAUUCACUCUAUGACAUUUUGUUUGAGAAUGAUAAGUAACAUUCUUGCUCAAGUAUAAUAUACUCUGACUAUCAUAAUUAAGUACAUACACAUCUAGCUUCAAACCUAAAUCUUAGAGAAACCAUUUAGUCCAAAGCAUUUUUUUCCCAGCUUCAGUUGCUGUAAUAUACUCAACCUUAGUUGUAGAUAGGGCAACAUACUUUGUAAUUUUGACUGCCAUGAGACAACUCCUCCUGCAAAAGUAAUCAAAUAUCUUGAAAUUGAUUUUCUACCAUCAAAUAUCACCAGCCAUAUAUGCAUCUGUAAAGCCAUCCAAAAUUGGCUUUGAACCUCCAAAUGUUAAGCACAUCUUUGAAGUAGCUCUCAAGUAUUUAAAGAUCAAUUUCAUUGCCUCCCAAUGAUCUUUACAGGGAUUAACAAGAAACCUGCUGACUAUCCCAACUGCAUGAGCAAUGUCUGGCUGUGUACAAACCAUGACAUACAUCAAACUCCCAACCGCAGAGGAGUAAAGAAUCUUUGUCAUCCUUUCUUUAUCUUCCUCCUUAGAAGGACAAGUUACCUUACUCAAUUUGAAAUAACAACCAAGUGGUGUCACAACUGGUUUAACAUUAUUCAUGUUAAACCUUUUCAACACACUCUUUAUAUAUUUCUCUUGUGAUAACCAUAACUUUUCUGGCUUUCCUAUCUGGACAAAUAUGCAUCCCCAAAAUUUGCCUUACUGGUUCAAGUCGUUUAAUAAGAUCCUUUAUGUUAAGCGACUUGAACAGAUCUACAUUCAAAUUGUGAAUCAAUUGAACAUCUUGUCCCACUAUCAACAUGUCAUCUACAUAUAGCAAAAAGAUGAUGAAGUUAUCACUAUGAAAUUCUCUGACAUAAAUACAAUGAUCUGCAUAUGUCCUGGUAUAAACAUGACCUACCAUAAAGGAUUCAAACUUCUUAUACCAUUGUCUUGGAGCCUGUUUCAACCAAUAUAAACUCUUUUUCAACCUGUAAACCAUUUGUUCCUUUUCUUUUACUUCAAAUCCCUCUAGCUGAACCAUGUAGAUUUCUUCCUUCAAAUCACCAUGGAGAAAGGCGAUCUUAAUAUCGAACUGUUCAAGCUCAAGAUCCAAACUAGCUACCAAGCCCAAAACCACUUGAAUGGACACAUUUUAAUAACUGGAGAUAAUAUCUCAUCAAAGUCAAUCCAUUUUUUCUGAUCAAAGAUUUUUACCACCAAUUGAGCUUUAUACUUCACUAGAUUUUUACUAUCUUUUUUCAGCUUGAACACCCAUUCAUUUUUCAAUGCCUUUUUACCUUUAGGAAGCUCUGCUAGCUCAUAAGUGUUAUUAUUCUACAAAGAAUUUAUCUCUUUUUGCAUAGCCUUCACACAGUUCUGUCUAUCCUUAUGAGAUUGUAUCUCCUUAAAACAUUGUGGCUCCCACUCAUCUGUUAGCAACACAUAAUCUAAUUCUGGAUAUCUGGUUGAUGGACAAUGCUCAUUGUUAGAUCUUCUGAUCUAAGGUUCUGAUGUAAUAGGCUGCUCUCCCUGCUUAACAUCCUAUAAAUCAUCCUCAUCAAUACCUGUUGGCUCAUCAGAUGAUUACCAACGGUGUCUCUAUCCCCUUGAGUGGCACCAUCCGGAGACAAAGAGACAGCUGUAAGGUCAGUGACACCUUUAUUAACACGUCUUUGAAUCCUCAAUUUCUCAAAAUCUGUCAACUUUUGAUUUUCAUGAAAGAUCACAUCUCUUCUUUUGAUUAUUUUCUUCUUUUCUAGAUCCCAUAAUCUAUAACCAAAUUCUGCAUCCCGUAGCCAACAAUAAUGCAAGGACUAACUUUAUCAUCUAGCUUCAACCGUUGUUCUUUAGCUACAUAUGCAAAUACUUUGCACCUAAAAACCUUUAAACGAGAAUAUAAAACAUCUUUUCCAGUUUACAAUUUUCCUGGAAUCUUAAAAUCCAAAGGAGCUGAUGGAGACCGAUUGAUUAGGUAGCACGCUGUUCAAACUGUUUCACCCCAGAAUGAUUUAGGUAACCUGACCAUCCUUAACAUGCUUUUGACCUUUUCUACAAUGGUAUGAUUUAUUCUCUCUGCUACACCGUUAUGUUGUGGAGUACCAGGAAACUGUCAUAUCAUGUCUAAUACUGUGUUCUGAGUAGUAAUCUUUAGACACUUUAGAUGUGUAUUCCCAUUCGUUAUCAGUUCGGAGACACUUCAAAACAUUUCCACUUUCCCGUUCCACGAUGCCAUGAAACUUCUUGAUGUAUUGGAAAACCUAGUCUUUUAAUCUAAAAAAGAACAUCCACAACUUUCGUGAAGCAUCAUCAAUAAAAGUAAGAAAAUACUUAUUACCACCUAAGGACUCAACCUCAAUGGGACCACACAUAUUAGAAUAAAUCAAAUAAAAAAUAUUAAAUUUUUCACUAGAGAAUUUUUGAAAAGAAACUCUAUGUUGUUUACCAAGUAAACAAUAAUGACAUGAAUUGAUGUACCUCUUGUAAAAGGGAUAAAUGACUUCCUUACCGAAAUCUGUAAUCAUUUCUCGGUCAUGUGAGCCAACCGCUUGUGCCACAAGUCUGGUGAUAAAUCACUUUCAAUUGCAUUCAUCGCUUCACUACACACCUUUGCUUGUGUUUUGUAAAUUGUGCAACAAAUCUUUCCUUUAACAAAUACCAUCGACCCUUUGCCAAAAUAAAUGUCAUACCCUACUUCAUCAAAGGCAUAUGUAGAUAGCGAAUUCAGGAACAUGUCGCACAUUAUUCAAUGUUAAGCUGCAUCCUAUCUGUCUUCAGACAGAUAUCACCAAUUUCCACAAUACUAGCAAACUGAUUUGUAUGAAGUAAAGAACUCCCGUCUUAGAGUAACAUGGUAAGAAGCUGCUAAGUCAAUAACCCAUUCAACAAAUAAAUCUGCAACAUGACACACUACUCAUUAGUGGAAAAAACUGCCACUACUAUUUCUUCAUCUGAAGCGCUAACGGCUGUAUUCUGAUCAGUCUUUUUUCUUCUCCUCUUUCAAUUUAUUUUUCCAAGUCAUGCAAUGUUUCUUUAUAUGGCCCUCUUUGUCACAAUAAAAACAUUUGACAUUUUCUCUUGUCUUUGACUAACUUUUGAAAUUAUCGCAUCCCUUAGGACAUCUGCUUUUGCUCACUCCUCUGUUCUCUGUGAUAAGAGCCUGUCCAUCAUUCCUACCCAAGUUUUUUCUUCAUAUUUCUUCAUUAAACAAACUAUUUUUUGAACUAGAGUAAGUUCAAGCGCACCAUUCGGAGUAGAGUUAAUAAGUGAUACCACAAAAGUCUCCCAACUAUCAGGCAAUGAACUCAGAAGUAAUAGUGCUUGCAUCUCAUCAUAUAGCACUAUUUUCAUUAUGGUCAACUGAUUUACCAAGUCUUGAAAUUCAUUCAAAUGCUCAUCAACUAAUUUUCCCUCUUUUAACUUCAUAUUCACAAGCUUUCUAAUAGUAAAAGCUUUAUUUUGAGUAGUCUUUCUCUCAUAGAGACUCUAUAAUUUUUUUCCAAAGGCUAUGGGCAUUUGUCUCUUAAGAUAUAUGAUGAAAUACAUUAAGGCAACCCAUUGUCUAACAUAUCCAAUGGCUUUCCUAUUCAUCUUCUUCUAGUCACUAUCACUCAUAUUGCUUGAUUUCGCACCAUCACCUUCAAUAGGUUCAUGUAAAUCUUUACAAUAAAGGAUAUUCUCGAUCACAGGUUUUCAAAUAGAAUAAUUUGUAAUGACCGAAGUAUUUUCCAUUUAUUCCCGCAAUAGAUCACACCCACACAACCUGAGCUCUGAUACCACUUUGUUAGGCAAUUUCAUUUAUUGCCAGAAUAAAUUCACCAAUCCAAGCAACCAACUAGAGUGAUUAAAUAUGCAAGUAAAUAAUAAUAGAUUACAAUAUUUUAUGCCUCAAAAUCCACUAUAAUAAAAAUAUAGAUUAUAAUAUUUUAUGCCUCAAAACUUGAAUUCUUAAGAAAUUGAAAGUACCACAAUGAUUAAUCUCUAAGAUAACAAUUUUAUCUCACCACAAAUCACUAAUUUGAUUAAAUUUGUGAGAACCCACUUUGAAUACAGCACCUAUGAAGUACCCAAAAUAAACCUUAGAGAAAAUUCCAAUUUGUAUUAUGUAGAGAAGAAAAAUCUUGUGCGAAUCCACACCCAAAGGAUUGAAAGAAAACUUCCCUCCCAAUUAUUUUUCUUUCUUCCAACAACUUGGUUUUCUUUUGUUUUUUACCGGCCAAAGUCUCUUUUAUAUUUUCUAUGUAGCAGCCACAGAUUAAGUUUCUUUCCAGCAACCUCAGUUUUUAUCUUCUUGCACACACAGCCAUGCUUUUGGGACCAUAUAUAUGUGUACGUGCGCGCCGCUUUUGUUGACCUAAAAGAAAAUAAAGAAGUGUUUGGGCCUUUUAUUCAUCAUGGGUUGAAACCCAUUUAACAACUAGAGCUCCCUCUGAAACCCGAGAUGCCAACAUUCCCUAAGCUAGAACUUCCACAAAAAUCUGAAUUGUCUAAACCGGAGAUACGAACAUUGUCAAGACCUGAACUCCCCACAAAAACAUGAAUUACCUAUGCCCGAAUUGCCUACAAUUCCCAAAUCUAAGGUACCAACAUUGUCAAAGUCAGAACUUCCAUUAAAAUCUGAAUUGCCUAAGCCCGAGUUGUCGACAUUAUCAAAGCCAAAGCUCCCACCAAAACCCGAAGUGCCAAUAGUGCCAAAACUCGAGGUCCCAAUAGUGCCAAAGUCAAAGCUUCCACCAAAACCAUAAACUGCCUAAGCCAAAGUUACCCACAAUGCCACAACUUGAGGUGCCUACAGUGCUGAAACUUGAGGCGUCAACAUUGCCAAAAUCAAAGCUCCCACCUAAAUCUGAGUUGCCUCUGUUGUCUGAGGCGGAAUUGCCAAUAGUUCCAAAACCCGAUUCCUAAGUAGCUUGAACUAUCCAAACCCACAUCGCCAGAAGUACCAAAAUCCCCAUGAAUAGUUUAUUUCAACUAAAUAUCUAAUAGUUUGAUUUCAUAUAAUUAAAUUGAUGGAUUGGUUUAAGAGUCAUCGAAUCAUCUUUCAAGAUUAUUCUUUCGUGUGAUAAUUGGACUUGUCUUAUUGCUUUGUCAUAAGAUGUUGUCUUGUCAUUGUUGCUAACAUUGAGUUUAUGAGAGCCUUUGUUUGAGUGCCAUUAAUUUCAUGUAUGCUUUUGUUUCAUAUACAUUUCCUACAUUUUCAAGUUUGCUCAAUUUUAGCUAUCAACGAUGAUGCUAUUGAUGUACAUGCCCAUGAUAAUUCUGGACGAUGUUUCUCCUUGUCGGUGUGAGGCCCCAAAAAAAAAAAGGAUUGCGUUGGGUCAACAAUCAAUGAAUAAUAUAAUGUAUUAUGACAAUAGAAAAAAUCUUCGCUUAUAUUUAUUAUAGUCUGUCUCAAGUUCGAAAAAUAAUGAAUAGUAGUAAGUUGACUACUGGCAUAAAAAUGUCAAAUAUUAUGGCAACAUUGUCGCAUGGAAAAAAACAUUGUCAGUUAAGCUCAUGUUUGGGGUGAAUUAAAAUAAGAUAUUUAGAAAAUUUUAAUCAAAAUUGAUGAAAUAUAUUGUUGAAAAAUUGUGUUUCCCAUAAAAUAUGUGGUUCAAAUUCAUUGUUUACUCAUAGUCAACUUUGUUAUCUUCUCGUAUGUCAACUUUGUAAAAAAUAUAAAUCUUGACCAUGUAUGUUAAUAUUGUUUGACAACAAAAAAAGGAGAUAAAAGAAGAAAUAAUAAAAAUAAAUUUGAAACUCCAAAUUCUGCACAAGAAUUCACUUGCAAAAGUUACUGUUUAUACAAACACAAGAUCUUUUGUGGUCUCUGUAACCGUCUAUAGCCAAACAAGUUGAUCUUUACAGCUUACUAGUUUUACAGUGUUCAUAUAAUUAAGUAAUCCUUUUACAAGACUACCCAAAAAAAUGUUGAAUUGUUUUUGAUUUCAGUCGUUUGUCUUUUAAAUGUUAGUUAUGGGAUGAAAAUUUCAAUUUUCAACUGAAAUAUGACGAUGAAAUUUAAGGAAUAUACCUUUCAAAGAGAGAGAGAGAGAGAGAGAGAGAGAUUUAAGGAAUGUAACAUGCAACAUUAUCUAUGAAGGAAUUGAGCAGUUCAAUUGACAUAGUCGAUUAUCGAAUAGACACGAAAGGAACUUCUCUAACUGCAAAUGCUUGACUCGUCGUAUCUCUCAACCGGGUGGAAAGCCUAGAAGCCGGGAAUCUUGUACUCAUAUUAGUUACCUGUAGUAUAGUUCUCUUCUUAUUUUGUUGGUUGAACUCUUUUAGUCAUGAAUAUGCAAUUUGUUAGAAAAAUAAACAUGCAUUUAACCUAUUUAAUUUAGUUUCAUGAAUUCAGAAGUUUGAAAUACGUGUAUUAUUAAUUAAUAUGCAUCUAGUUAAUUGUGGUUCAUGUAUGCAUGUAUUAUUAAUUAAUGUGUACCUAGUAAAUUGUGGUGCAUGUAGUAGAAUUAAAUUGAGGGGAUGAACUUAUGUGAUAGGAAGUCCUAUAAAUACCUAUGUAAUCUUGAGUUGAAUGUAAGUCCACAAUUGAAUAGAAAAGCAUUUCCUCCUCCUAAGUCCACUUCUAUUUCCUACAAAGUGGUAUUAGAGCCACAAUACUAGAAACAAUGGCAAAUACCAACAUGAUUCCCUUCCAAGUUCCAAAAUCGUCCAAAGAGAAAUUUGAUAAUUGGUGCAUCCGCAUGAAGGCACUACUUGGUGCACAUGAUGCAUGGGACAUCGUGGAGAAUGGUUAUGAGGCUCUCACCAAUCUAGCUGCUCUCACCCAAGCACAAAGGGAUCUUUUACAAAACACUAAGAGGAAGGAUCAAAAGGUUGUUUCUUUUAUUCACCAAGCAUUGGAUGAGGCCACUUUUGAAAAGGUUUCUAAUGCUACUACAGCAAAACAAUUAUGUGUUAUGCUUCAAGUUGCCUGCAAAGGAAAGGAGAAGGCAAAAAAAGUUCACCUUCAAAAUCUACGAGGUGAAUUUGAAGCUAUUCAAAUGAAGGAAUCCGAAAAGGUGUCGGAUUAUAUUUCAAGAGUGGUGACCGUUGCAAACCAAAUGAAGAGGCUUGAUGAAGAUGUGACCGAUUUAAGGGUGAUUGAGAAAAUCUUUAGAUCGGUUAGUGAGAAAUUUGAUCGCGUGGUGACUGCCAUUGAAGAAGCGAAGGACUUGGAAGAUAUGACAAUUGAAGAAUUAUGCGGAUCAUUGGAAGCAUAUGAAGAGAAGCUUAAUCGAAGAAGGAAGGAGCCAUUGGAGCAGGUUUUACAAUCAAAGCUCACAUUGAAAAACAAAGAAGAAAAUGGAAAUACAAGUUUCAAAGGACGAGGGCGUGGAUGAGGCUUUGGAAGAGGAUGAAGAGGUAACCAUAUUUCAUUUCAAUGUAGAGAUGAAAAUUAUCAAUCCAACUCAACAAGAGGACAUGGCAGAGGAGGAGCAAGACCAUAUCAAAAGAGGUAUGACAAGUCACAAGUUAAAUGUUAUACUUGUCAUCAAUUUGGACAUUAUUCAUGGGAAUGUAAAAGUGGCGAUGGUACGAAAGCUAACCUUUCUCAUGAAGAAGAUAUAGAAAAUAAUGAAGAGAUAGAGUCUACUCUUUUGAUAGUUUGCAAGGACUUGCAGCAAGGAGAAAAACAUUCUUGAUUCCUUGAUACGGGAGCUAGUAAUCACAUGUGUGGGAACAAAGAUUUGUUCAUAGAGCUUGAUGAGAAGGUUGGUGGCAAUAUCACAUUCGGGGAUUCCUCCAAAAUCUCAGUAAAGGGGAAAGGUAAAAUCUUGAUACGUAUGAAAGAUGAAAAUCACCAAUUUAUUUCAAAUGUUUAUUAUGCUCCAGAUAUGAAGAGUAAUAUUUUGAGUGUUGGUCAAUUAUUGGAGAAAGGUUAUGUUUUGUUCACAAAAGGUUGCAGUGUGUUUUUAAAGGAUGAUGCAGAAAAUUUGAUUGCUAAAGUACCUAUGGCGAAAAAUCGUUUAUUUGUGUUGUCCAUACAAACUGAUAUGGCUAAGUGUUUGAUGUCUUGUUAUAAAGACUCAUCAUGAUUGUGGCAUUUACGAUUUUGGCACAUAAAUUUUGGAGGGCUCAAAAUAAUGGCUAGCAAUGGGUGGUGAAAGGUUUGCCUCCAAUACAUCAGCCAAAUUAGCUUUGUGAAGGGUGUCUUUUUGGUAAGCAGUCAAGAAAGGUCUUUCCAAAAGAAUCUCAAUCGAGAGUUUCAAAGCAACUACAAUUGAUACACACUGAUGUACGUGGGCCAAUCACUCCAUGUUCUUUUGGUAAGAACAAAUAUUUUCUUUUGUUUAUUGAUGAUUUCAAUAGAAAAACAUGGGUGUAUUUUCUAAAAGAAAAAUCGGAGGUGUUUAAGUGCUUUCAGAAUUUUAAAACUCUUGUGUAAAAAGAAAGUGGAUUUAAAAUCCAAGCUGUGAGAUCAGAUAGAGGAGACGAAUUCACUUCCAAAAAUUUUCAAGACUUCUGUGAUGCCAAUGGAAUUCGUUGGUUCCUAACCGCUCCAGGAUCUCCACAGCAGAACGGUGUUGUUGAACGAAAGAACCGAACAAUUCUCAAUAUGGCAAGGAGCAUGAUGAAGACAAACAAAAUGCCAAAAGAAUUUUGGGCAGAAUCUGUCGAUUGUGCUGUCUAUUUGUUAAACCGGUGUGCCACAAAGGUUUUAGCCCACAAGACUCCACUUGAAGCAUGUAAUGGGAGAAAAAUAGCAGUGUCUCAUUUGAAGGUAUUUGGAUGCAUUGCAUAUAUCCAUGUUCUUGAUGAGAAGCCCUCGAAACUUGAUGAUAAGAGUAAAAAAUGUGUGUUCGUUGGCUAUGAUUCAAAAACAAAAGGCUACAAGCUCUAUAAUCCAAGUGAUGGGAGAAUGUUUAUUAGUAGAGAUGUGGAGUUUGAUGAGGAAACAACAUGGAAUUGCCAUGUUGAAGAAGAUAACUAUGAUUUUUUUCCUUUCUUAGAAGAAGAAGAUGACAAUGAAAAAAUACAUGAGACCACCACUCCUCCAACAUCACCAUCACGUGGUGAAAUUGAUGUUUCUAAAGGAAGUUCAAGUGAAAGGCCUUUGUGUACAAGGAUGCUUGAUGAUAUAUAUCGAGAAAUUGAGAGAAUUGAUGAUAUUACUUUCUUCUGUCUGUUUGUAAAUAUUGAGCCCAUAAGUUUUAAUGAAGCUGCUGAGGAUGAGAAAUGGAGAAAAGCCAUAAAUGAAGAAAUCGAAGCAAUUGAGAAGAAUAAUACUUGGGAAUUAACAACUCUUCCCAAGGGACAUGCUGCCACCGGAGUUAAAUGGGUGUACAAAACUAAGAAAAAUUCAAAAGGAGAGGUGGAAAGAUACAAAUCAAGACUCGUGGUGAAAGGAUACAAACAGCAUCAAGGCAUCGAUUAUGAAGAAGUUUUCGCUCCAGUAGCUCAGUUAGAGACCAUACGACUGAUAAUUGCUUUGGCUGCUCAAAACAAAUGGAAGAUUUUCCAAAUGGAUGUUAAGUCAACCUUUCUCAAUGGCUAUCUUGAAUAGGAGGUCUACGUGCAACAACCCCCCGGCUUUGUAGUAAAAGGAAAUGAGGACAAAGUGUUGAAAUUAAAGAAAGCUCUUUAUGGCCUAUAGCAAGCACCAAGAGUUUGGAAUUGUAGAAUUGAUAAAUAUUUUAAGGAGAAUGGCUUUACCAAGUGUCCUUAUGAGCAUGCUCUCUACAUUAAGGUGAAUGCCAAUGGUGUUCUGAUUGUUUGUUUGUAUGUCGAUGAUCUAAUUUUUACAUGCAACAAUCCAAAGACAUUUGAAGAAAUCAAGAGAAAAAUGUGUUAUGAAUUCGAGAUGACGGAUUUAGGACUUAUGUCCUAUUAUCUUGGGAUAGAAGUGAAGCAAAUGGAGGAAGACAUUUUCAUCAUACAAGAAAAUUAUGCAAAAGAAGUUCUACAGAAAUUCAACAUGAGUAAUUGCAAUCUAGUUAACACUCCAGUAGAAUGUAACAUCACGCUUUCUAGAUAUGAUGAUGGUGCAAAGGUGGAUCCAACCUUGUUUCGAAGCUUAGUUGGAAGCCUGGGAUAUUUAACUUGUACAAGGCCGGAUAUAUUAUUUGGAGUAGGACUGGUUAGUCGUUAUAUGGAGGCUCCAACGACAACACAUUUGAAAGCUGCGAAGAGAAUUUUAUGUUACAUCAAAGGUACUCUUGAUUUCAGGUUACAUUAUUAUGCCUCUAAUGUUUUCAGACUUAGAGGUUUCAGUGAUAGUGAUUGGGGUAGCGACAUGGAUGAUCGAAAGAGUACCAGUGGAUUUGUUUUUUACAUAGGUAAUAUAGCUUUUACUUGGAGCUCAAAGAAGCAACCAAUUGUUACUCUGUCAACUUGUGAAGCUGAGUAUGUUGCUGUCAGUUCUUGUGUUACACAAGUAGUUUGGCUAAGGAAUUUGUUGAAUGAGCUUCAUUUUGCACAAAGAGAGCCUACCGAAGUAAGUGUGGAUAACAAAUCAGCCAUUGCUUUAGCAAAGAAUCCGUUGUUUCAUGAACGUAGCAAGCAUAUAGAUACCAAAUAUCACUUUUUGCGUGAAUGCAUUGCAAACAAGGUAGUGAAGAUUAAUUUUGUGAAGUCUCAAGACCAAAUUGGAGAUAUUUUCACCAAAGCUCUCAAGUUCAAUACUUUCAAGGCAUUAAGAAACUUGCUUGGAGUAUGCAAACUUCAUAUUUAAGGGGGGGGGGUGUGUUAGAAAAAUAAACAUGCAUUUAACCUAUUUAAUUUAGUUUCAUGAAUUUAGAAGUUUGAAAUACAUGUAUUAUUAAUUAAUAUGCACCUAGUUAAUUGUGGUUCAUGUAUGCAUGUAUUAUUAAUUAAUGUGUACCUAGUAAAUUGUGGUGCAUGUAGUAGAAUUAAAUCGAGGGGAUGAACUUAUGUGAUAGGAAGUCCUAUAAAUACCUAUGUAAUCUUGAGUUGAAUGUAAGUCCACAAUUGAAUAGAAAAUCAUUUCCUCCUCCUAAGUCCACUUCUAUUUCCUACACAAUUUUCCCUCCCAUUCUCUACUUUGCUUGGUUCCGAUUAUAAAUAAAGUUUGGUAGGAUACAUUCAAGGUGAACUAGAAAUUUAAUUUUAAGAGUGUACAAUAAAUUUCGUGCAUAAAAAUACAAAACUUUUAUUUUUUUGAAAUACAAGAUAGAUUGAUCACGAGGCUUUCUUCCGGAAUUUCAAGUCUUGAAGACAAGGGGCGAAAUGACUUGCUUCCUGAAUUUUGAAUCUUGAAUUUGAUAAAUAUGGACUUGUUGAAGACUUUAAUAUCUAGAAUUUGACUUGAACUUGCUUUGAUGUAAAGAAAACUUUGAUCUUCUUGAAUCCCGAACUUGGACUUGAAAAAUUUUGUUCUUUUCUUCCUUUCUUCCUUCAGAUUUUGAAUUUUCUCUUUGACUGAUUUUUCCUAAACGUGGGUCUUUUUCUCAUGCACUUGACUUGUGAUUUUUCUUGUACAUUAGAUCCUAUUUAUAGGAAAAAAAAUUUGUAACAAUCCUUAUUUAUAUUUAAGUUUACUAUUAAAUAAAAAUUAAAUAAAUGGACUUAGUUUCUGUUUAGUGGUACUUUACAUUAUAAUUUAUUUUUCAUAUUUAUUUUUAACUACACAUUUACACAAUAAAAUAUUCUAUAUAUAAACUUAAAUUUUUUUCUACAUUUUAACCACACCACACGUUCUCCAAAUAUACUAAUAAUAUAGUUUUUUUUUGAAAUAAAAGUCACCAAACAUGACAUGGCUUAAUGGACUUUUAGACUUCAAUAAACUCAAUUGAGCUAGUUGAAAUCGACCAAAUUCAUUUAAUUAUUUCAUAUAAUUUUUAAUGUCUACAUAAAGUUUCUUAAAGUUACUCACCAACCUUUUUCCGAUAAAUCAGAUUCAAUAACUACUUUCCAACUGAAAUUUUCGGUCCAUUGUACGGAUUGUGCAGAAUGAAGUGAUUCAUGACCCCUAUUAUAGCUUCAAUAAAGUCAUAAUUACAGAAAAAUUUAACAGAACUUAUAUCAACACUGACAUGGCAAAAUAUAAGUGGACUGUUUUUUUUCUUUUUUCUCAUAUUCCAAUGAUGUCACGCCAUGUAUUAUCUGUAAAAUUUUUCUGUCAAAAAAUUCUGUACUUGUAGCAUGAUUCUUAUAAUUUAUGAGAUAAUAUAACUUAAUAAAAAAAGAAAAAAAAUUAAGGAUUCGACAUGUUUUUAACUAAGAAAAAAUAUGGUUUUUUGUCACGAAAAUAUUUGUUUCGUUUGAAAUUAUUGCAAAUGCACUACUCGUUAAUAAAAUGAAUUUUUGAGUCCAAGUAUCAUACACACAGAGAUUAUAUUAGUUCAAAUUCGAAUUAACUUAAUCUUGACCGAAACAAUAGAAAUUUGUGAUUUUUUUUCUAUAACUAAUUUGUAAGUAAAUAAUUCAAUUAUGAACACAAGACCUAAAUUAAAAUGCAAAGAUGUUAUUAAUACAAAUUUGAUUAAUAUAUAAUGAUAAAAAGUGUAUAAGGAUUCAGAAUUCUCUUGUAUCAACCCCCUUUAACCCAACCUUAUAAUUUGACAAUACGAUUUAAUUACAAAGAUCAAUAUUCCUAAAUUGUUUAACAAUUUCUCGCAUGUGUACAAGCAUUAUUAGAGAUUUAUAAAUAUUUAAAGAUCACGUGGAGUAUAUAAGUAUAUUUCUAUCCCUAUCGGAUCUACGAUGAUUAACGCCAUGUCUAACUUAUUUUCCAUCUUUCAAAGGUAAAACAGGCCACAAUAUCCAUACAAUCAUUGUGCGCAUAAUUGUAAAAAAGAUAAUUCUAUGAAAAUUGUUUAAUAAUUGAAAAUGUGUUUGAAUGUCAAAAAGAAAAACUAAGAAUUAAAUAUUAAUGAUACAAGAUUCAUCGUAAUCCUGGCACUAUAUUUGUUUAGCCUAACUUGUUGUGAACAAAAUAGCAAAAAUGAAUAAAUAAAAGUUGUUCAUUAUCCGAAAAUUCUUGAAAUUCAAUUUUGAUGUGUUCUUCAAUUCUUUUUAUAAUCAGUUCUCUCCCUAUAUAUGUGAGUUGGUACUUAUACUUGUCUUCAAGGAGCCCUAAAAGUCUCUUCUUUGUUGGAUUGAAAUUCUCAAAUGAAAUAAAAUUAUCUUGCCGAAUUGGCCUAGGAGGGUGCCCAAUAGGAAAGGGGGCUGCCGCGGCAUAUUAGGUAGAGUAAUGCUGUCUACCAGGGUGAAGCUUACCAGACCUUGUACAUGUUUCUCACAAUGAGGUGGGCCCAUGUCGGACCCACAUGCAAAAAAAAAAAAAAUUGUAAAAAAAACUGACCCUCUCUGCCUUUGUGUGAGGCCCUGUAAGACCUCUGGCAGAGGGGGCCUGGCAAGGUAGAACGACCCUAUUAGGUAGCCCUUGUUAUUGAAGUUAAGGGCUAGGCAUAUAACUAGGCCGGUGCCCUGCUAUAAAAACUUUAAGAAGUUUCUUUUUGGCCAUUUUCUUCAUUAUUUUUUCCAUCUUGGUCAUCCACUUUAAAUUACUUUGAUUUUGGUCCUUCAACUUUUACUCAGAUGCAUAUUAGUCUCCAGACUUCCAUCUAAUGUCCAAUUGAUCUUUCUUUCUUUUUCAAUUGCUUAGAAAUGGGUCCAAAAUUGAAAUAAGAUAAAAUUAACCUCAAUUAAGUAAAACUUAAAACGAUACAAAAGCUUAGUAAAUAGGCUUGGAUAAGUGCAGAAAAUGCACUUAUCAGCAAUUUUCUAAAAUUAAAUUAUCACUUUAAUGAAAUAAAUUAAUAACAAAGAAAGUCACCAAUUUUUUCUUUUGUGUGAAAAACCCUCAACAUGACGUGAAAAAGUAAGAGACUCUAUUAAUCCCUAUAUUUUUAAUACUAAAUCGAUGAACAAUAUCGUUUGUUUUUCUUAUAAAAACAAAUGAUUCUCACAACAUUCGAAAACUUCUUGUCAAUAGUACCUUUUAUAAUUUUUAUUCAAAUUAACAUAAAUUUUUACAAAUAUUAUAGAAAUAGAAAGUUUCGAUAUCACCAAAAUAUCAUCAAUACAAGAGAGUACUCUAUGAUUCAAGUGUAUAUACACAUCUGAUCAAGACAGUCGCUUUGAGCGGCUCCUAUUGAUCGAAACAUGGUACGUACACAAUUUUACCUACAAUCUUAAAUGUGCCCUAAUUAGAAACCCUUCAAUAAUAUACAACCAACUUGACGGCAUCUAAAAGUGUACUCACGAGCAGUUGAAAUUAUCAUAAAAUUCAAUGCAAUAUGGGCCCUUUUUGUACCACACUCUCAUCAAACAAACACAAUAAAAAGGCUCUCCAGUCCUUACAUUCUCACUACAAAAAAAAAUCACUCAACUGCUAUUUUUGCUUAUAAUCCCAAGUUACAAGGCCUAAUUUUCUAUUGAUUAUGGCUUCAUACAAGUGGUUCAUCUUCUUCUUUCUCAUUGCUCUAUCUUUGUCGAGUCUUGACAAAGUAUCAGCAGGUCGACCUCGUCACUUGGCACAAACAUCAAAUUAUCCCAGUUUGUUCGCGCCUCUUAUCCCCAACUUGCCACCAAUUACAUAUCCUCCGUUCCCUUUCCCUCCCACCGGUCGGCCCACUGUUCCUUAUGUUCCAUUUCCAAAUGUUCCACCUCCAGCAACUACUAGUCCAUGAAGGCAUUGUUUUCAGUACUCGACAUGACUCGAAAAUAAGAUUGUAGCUUUCUUAUCUACUUAAAUAAAUAGUUUGAGUACGUUACAAUUUAAAUUAUGAUGGUGUAAAUGUGUGCAUGUAUUGCUGUAUCUUUGUUAUCUUCUUCGUUCUCGUGUUUUCUACUGAUGAUUAAGAAUGAUCUAUGUUUUCUGUUAUAUUAAUAAUAUUGGGUUAUUGUUUCUGUGACGCGUAUUUUCUUGUUUUAAUUUCUUUGCUGAUAUGUUUAUGAUUUGGAACUUAAAUUCUGCUUUGUAAAGCCCUUUUAGUGUCGUGAAACUUUGUACGUUAUGUUAGGAAAAUUCUCCUACUAUUUCAUGCAAGAUUUCAUAGUAAACUUCUGAUGCAGUCCAAAAACACGAGAAUGCC